rnacentral:lncRNA from 1 species
GAACACAAGAACACUCGAAACUAAGGGUAGAUAUGAACCUAACGGUACACCUAAAGCUUUGAUUACCACUUGAUGAGAACACGGGUGGCCCGAUCUUCCGAUAGGUUCUGGUAACUCUCGAUUUGGUGGAGACGAGACACAAAUUGAUCCGGCUUCCGAACAACACGAUAUGAAACCCUGCAAUUUUCUUUAUUUUUUUCAUAUUUUUCUUUUAGUUAGGAGCACCAAAGGAGUAACCACAAAAAAUUUGAGCUUAAACAAGUUAAAGACAUGGCCCGCGGAAUUUUCUGAAUAUUGUGAAAAAUGUGAAAAAAACUUCACGAGGUGAAAACUCAAACUUUGGAGGUGAAUUUAGAGGAUCUAAAGUCAAUCAAACCCGCCAUUGAAGGGCAUAGACAGAUCCAAAAAAAUUUUCUGAUCGAUUUUGAUAUAUGGAACGUUGAAAUCGGAGUUCGUAUGCGGAAGUUAUGGCUAUUUUAUGAACGGACUCCGGAUUAGAGGACAAAACGGUCCGAAAAUGAGAAAAAAUUGCGGCGGUGGCUAGAAAUUGAUGGAAACAGUGGAGAAAAACAUAUGAACUGGACCCUAACAAGACCUAACCAGCAACAAGACCUCGACCAGGACACAAACUCAACACUACGGACUCUGAAACUAAAAUAUGCAAAUUCUAUGGCGUGGAAGGGUUGUAGGACAGGAAAAUGAUAUGGCACUGGACUUAUGGGACGAACACAAGAACACUCAAAACUAAAGAUAGUUAUGAACCUAAUGGUAUACCUAAAGCUUUGAUUACCACUUGAUUUGAACAAGGGUGGCCUGAUCUUCCGAAAGGUUCUGGUAACUAUCGAUUUGGAGAAGAAGAGACACAAAUUGAUCCGCUUUCGAACAACACGAUCCGAAACUCAGCAAAUUCUUUUUAUUAUUUUUUAAUAUUUUUCUUUCAGUUAGGAGCACCAAAGGAGUAACCAUAGAAAAUUUAAGCUUAAACAAGUGAAAGACAUGGCCUGUGGAAUUUUCUGAAGUUUGUGAAAAAUGAGAAAAAAACUUCACGAGCUGAAAACUCAAACUUCGGAGGUGAAUUUAGAGAUUCUAAAGGUGUCAAAUCCACCAAUGGAGGGGACAGACAGAUACAAAAUUUUUUCUGAUCAAUUUUGAUAUAUGGAACGUUGAAAUCGGAGUUCGUAUGCGAAAGUUAUGGCUAUUUUACAAACGGACUCCGGAUUAGAGGACAAAACAGUCCGAAAUUGGGAAAAAUUUGCGGCGGUGGCUAGAAAUUGAUGGAAACAGUGGGGAAAAACAUAUGAACUGGACUCGAUAAAGACCUAACGAGCAACAAGACCUCGACCAGGACACAAACUCAACACUGUGGACUCUCAAACUGAAAUAUGCAAAGGCUAUGGCGUGGAAGGGUUGUAGGACAGAAAAAUGAUAUGGCACUGGACUUAUGGGACGAACACAAGAACACUCGAAACUAAGGGUAGAUAUGAACCUAACGGUACACCUAAAGCUUUGAUUACCACUUGAUGAGAACAAGGGCGGCCCGAUCUUCCGAAAGGUUCUGGUAACUCUCGAUUUGGUGGGGACGAGACACAAAUCGAUCCGGCUUCUAAACAACACGAUCUGAAAGCCUACAAUUUUUUUUAUUUUUUUGAUAUUUUUCUUUGAGUUAGGAGCACCAAAGGAGUAACCAUAGAAAAUUUGAGCUUAAACAUGUGAAAGACAUGGCCUGUGGAAUUUUCUGAAGAUUGUGAAAAAUGUGAAAAAACUUCGCGAGGUGAAAACUCAAACUUCGGAGGUGAAUUUGGAGGUUUUAAAGUUUUCAAACCCGCCAAUGGAGGGGACACACAGAUCCAAAAAUUUUUUCUAAUGAAUUUUGAUAUAUGGAACAUUGAAAUCGAAGUUCGUAUGCGAAAGUUAUGGUUAUUUUACAAACGGAUUCCGAAUUAGAGGACAAAACGGUCCGAAAGUGAGAAUAAUUUGCGGUGGUGGCUAGAAAUUGAUGCAAACAGUGGGGAAAAACAUAUGAACUAGACUUUAACAAGACCUAACCAGCAACAAGACCUAGACCAGGAGACAAACUCAACACUUCGGACAAUGAAACUGUAAUAUGCGAAGGCUAUAGCGUGGAAGGGUUGUAGGACAGAAAAAUGAUAUGGCACUGGACUUAUGGGACGAAUACAAGAACACUCGAAACUAAAGGUAGUUAUAAACCUAAAGGUAUACCUAAAGCUUUGAUUACCACUUGAUUUGAACAAGGGUGGCCCGAUCUUCCGAAAGGUUCCGGUAACUAUCGAUUUGGAGGAGACGAGACACAAAUCGAUCCGGCUUCCGAACAACACGAUCCGAAACUCAGCAAAUUCUUUUUAUUUUUUUGUUAUUUUUCUUUCAGUUAGGAGCACCAAAGGAGUAACCACAAAAAAUUUUCUGUGGAGUAACAACAAGUGAAAUACAUGGCCUUUGGAAUUUUCUGAAGUUUCUGAAAAAUGAGAAAAAAAACUACACGAUGUGAAAACUCAAAUUUUGGAGGUGAAUUUGGAGGUUCUAAAAUUUUCAAAACCCGCCAAUGGAGGGGAUAGAUAGAUCCAAAAAAAUUUUUUGAUCGAUUUUGAUAUAUGGAACACUAAAAUCGGAGUUCGUAUGCGAAAGUUAUGGCUAUUUUACGAUCGGACUCUGAAUUAUAGGACAAAACGGUCCGAAAGUAGAAAAAAUUUGCGGCGGUGGCUAGAAAUUGAUGGAAACGGUAGAGAAAAACACACGAACUGGACUCUAUCAAGACCUAACCAGCAACAAGACCUCGACCAUGACACAAACUCAACACUGCGGACUCUGAAACUGAAAUAUGCAAAGGCUAUGACAUAGAAGGGUUGUAGGACUGGAAAAUAAUAUGGAACUGGACUUAUGGGACGAACACAAGAACACUCAAAACUAAGGGUAGAUAUGAACCUAACGGUACACCUAAAGCUUUGAUUACUGUUGACGGUCCUUAAUGCUCACAUUUAACCAUCAACUAAUCAUAGAAAAGGAUCCAAAUGCAACCAACACCUAGACUUAGGGUUUUAUCUGACAGAAUUCCACGAGUUUUGGUGUUUGUCUGUUUCUGCAGGGGGUUAUCAGGAAAUACGAAAGAAAGGCCCACACGUCGGGUUUACAUAGAGAUAUUAACGUGCUGCGCAAUUUUCUAUCAUCUAGAAGACUCCAGAAGCCACGGGACCGAACGGGAGACGUAACGGAGCCGGGCACUGGGCGCCCGCCCUCCCUUACUGGGCGCCCGCCCUCCCCCCUGGACCAAUCAGGGUGAAGUUCGGGGAUCAUGCUCCACCGACCUAAUACUUCAAGGAAAACCACACGAUCAAUGUCGGUUUGAUCCGACGGCCCAGAUUCACUUGAAGGGACUAUAAAACCAGACCCCCCUUGCCCCUGGAGAUCAUACCUCUUCUACAGAAUCAAAGCUAGGGUUUCAAUUCUUCAUCCAAGUAGAGAGGAUCCCUCUAGUUCUUCUAGUUCUACCUCUAGUUCAUCUAGAUCUAGUUCUAGUUCAUCUAGUUCUAGUUCUAGUUCCUCUAGUUCUAGUUCUAGUUAGUUCUAGUUGUAAUCUAGAAAAUAGGGAGAGAGAAGAGGAGAGCGGAGGAGGAGCCGGAUCUGUCGGAUCUUCCUCAACAUUGUACUUUUGCAGCAUCUGGUUCGUUCUUCAUCGUUCUCCAGGUUCUUCAAUUCAUAAUUCCUGAGUUCUUUAAUUACUUUUAUUUACAUUCAAGUUAUUUAUUGGUGUCGAGGGUAUCGGUAAGGGGUACCCUCAGCGAUGCGCAUUAUGAGAUUGCCCAUACAAAGGUUGGGACCCCCAAUUCGACGCCUUAAUCUUACUUACGCGCCGCCGACGACGGUCGCAGCCUCGAAUACGGAAAUAGCGUCGAGCGAACCGGUCAGGGCUCGAGCAGCGACUACCGUCGAAGGCGGAAGCGGGCUCGAGCGAACCGAGAGACGUCGAGCGUUAGGACACUGCCCGCCGCCUGACGCGCGCACGCGGGCGGGAGCAUUAAAUGCAUCUGACGUUUCCCACCUAACACCCGGGUCACGGAAGGCGUGAUAGGGAACAAGCUUCUGUCCCAUCGUUCUUUUUGCAGCCUUCCCACCGAACGACCCAGGGUGCGUCAGGACGCAGGAAACGAGGAUGGAACGUCUAAUCGGGACCCCCUCGAGACACUCAGGGUCAGCGCUCCGGAUGUCAGCCUAUUGCGCGGCGCCCGACCCUCGACCGAACGAGGUCCCUUCCCGGGGACAAGUCGGGCAUCGACUGACACCACCACAGCUGCUCCGCCGGAUCCGCCACCAUACCAUACGAGCAUGCGAUCUCAGAACCAGCACAAGGCGGCUGGCAGGACAGCACGCAGGAGCACGCGUAAUCAUCACCAAGCUAUCAAGAUGGGACGGCUCGAGGCCAUGACGUACGGAAGCCUCGAGUAGGUCAGCGCUCCAUGCGGCUAUCGAUCCCUACUCUAAUAUCCAUGCAUGUACCCUUUGUCUCUCCUUGGAACUAUAAAAGGAGGGACUCAGGAAUAGAAGAGGGGACAACGCAAGCACACAUACACACGUAGUAGAGCGGCACAUUUCAUUCCACACUUGUAUUCGCCCCUGUACAAGCACUUAGGUGCAAGAUAAUACAAACUCUCCCCCCCGCUGGACGUAGGGCCUUCUCUUGCCCGAACCAGGAUAAAUCUCUGUGUUUUCUCGCAUCACCAUCCGGAAAGGGGAGCACGCAUACAAAUUUACUCGUUGGUGUGAUCCCCCCGGGGGAAAAACACCGACAGUUGGCGCGCCAGGUAGGGGUCCUGCGUGUUUUUUACCGAUUUCCCACCACUUUCCGGAUGGCUACUCCUGCCUCGCCGCUUCCGCGCUCCACGGUGAUUUGGUUUGGGAGUCUCGAGUUCAUGUCUAUGGGCUCCGGCUACGACAUGAUCUUGCUCUCAGUCAAAGGACCAGGAGAAGUCCGCGUUACGCCAGCACGGUUGAAGACCUCAAGACGCCCUCACCACCACGCCUCCCCGCCUAAGAAGAGGCGCGGGCUCAACCACCGCGGCCCCUCUGCUUCAGCGCGACCAGCAACUCGCGCAAGGCAGGAUGUGGGCCGCAAGGCAGCGACACCGCGUGACCGAGCAACAAGCAUAACGACUCAGCACCACGCAACGACAGGGGGAGACGCGUCUCGCGCGCCCACCCCCACCGCAGCUAGGCUACUUCCACACGGGUUGUUCUUUCCAAGGGCGGCACUGCCGUUCGGGUUGGACAACGCCGCGGCGUCGCUCGCCAAGACGAUACGCCCAAAUGCUCAGACGCACGUGGAAAGACCAAUGGUCAUCCCACGUAGCUCUGAAGAGCAGCGGCCGACGUCCAAACUGCCGGACCUUUCCCGAGUACGAGGCCUCCGCCGUCUAGGCCCCGGGCGAUACUCGAUCACCUCCCUCGAGCAACGAUGGUCGGAGGAAGGACGUGAGCGUUCCCACACUGCCGAACCAGACUCCGACUCCGAGACAGACAGCUACGACCCUACGAGGGAAUGCUAUCACCUCGACGGAGUGGCAGAAACCACCGACGAGAUACGGGACGCCGUUGCGGGUGGACGAGCCCCCGCAGCGCAAGAAGACCCCAGGACGCCUGGGAACGACGGAAGGUUCGACCCUCUUCCUCAGGAAGAUAGAACUGCGCAGCUCGCGCAGCUGCGGGAGCUCAAGAUGAAGCUCGACGAAGAUCGCGAGCGCCUCGUCCUGCUCGAGCAAAUCCUCGAACAAGACCUGCCCUACCCGCCAGGCGGAAGUAUCCGCAGACGCGCUCGAGAGGUACAUCGACAGAUCGUCGGUGACACGGAGGCGGAGCAACCUGUCGGCCGUUUCCCUCGAGCAGGCCAGAAUGUAGUGGCAGCGACGAUGCUGCUACGUAACAUGCCAGAACCAUCGAAUUCCCAGGCUCGACGAAUUCGAGAUGAGGUUCAGACGUUGCUCCAGGUGGCAGCAGUCCAACAAGCCGAAAGUUCGGCAUCUCGACGACGAGGAGCUGCCACAGAGAAGCGCGACGAACAGCCUCUAAUCGAAGAGGAGGUGUCUGUCCAGCAACAACCCCCCCCUCGAGGCAGAAAGACCACUCUCAUCCUCCCUGCCAACAAUCAACGUCGACACGACGCGCGACACGACGUCAGAGAAAGUAGACGCCGACGGCACGGAGACGCGGAAGAACGUGGUUAUAGCGCGCAUCGCGGUGGGAGGUACGACAGUGACGAGGACCGGGUGGCCCCCGAGCCACCAGGCCCGCGGGUGUUCAGCAGAGCAAUUCGCAGCACACCCCUGCCUAGUCCAUUCCGACCCCCAACCAGCAUCGCGAAGUACAAUGGAGAAACCAAGCCAGAGUUAUGGCUGGCCGAUUUCAGGCUGGCUUGUCAACUAGGCGGCGCUCGGGGGGAUGAUCGAGCCAUCAUCAGACAACUACCCCUUUUCCUCUCCGACACCGCCCGCCGAUGGCUCGAGGAGCUCCCAGCCAAUCAGAUUCACAACUGGGUUGACCUGGUCAGAGUCUUCGAAGGUAACUUCAAAGGGACCUAUAUACGGCCAGGGAACUCGUGGGACCUCAGCAAAUGCAAGCAGAAGACAGGAGAGACUCUUCGGGAGUAUGCUCGACGCUUCUCGAAGCAACGCACUGAGUUACCACACAUCCCCGACCACGACGUCAUCUUGGCGUUUGUCUCGGGCACCACCAGUCGAGACUUGGUGCGGGAAUUAGGCCGCAAUCGACCUCAGACCGUCGACGAGCUGAUGGACGUAGUAGCUAACUACGCGGCAGGGGAGGAGGCAGUCGGCGCUUUCUUCAGCUCAGAAGGAAGAAAAGGCAAGCAGCCCGUCGAUGAAGAAAGGACUUCCAGUCGAGGCCUCAAGAAAAAUAAAAAGAAGCAGAAAGUACGACAAUUCCACCAGGGAGAUUCGGAUGACGACCUCGUCGCCACGGUGGAUCGAAAGAAGCCGCGAGGCCCUCCGGAGGGAGGCAUCUUCGACAAGAUGUUGGAGGAGCCAUGCCCUUACCAUAAGGGGGGCGCUAACCACAAACUCAAGGAUUGUCGCAUGCUGAGAAAGCAUUUCGACGGUCAGGGGCUCAAAAAAGAUGCGCAUGAUGACUCCAAGAAGGAGAAGGCCGGCGGCAAGGAGGACAACAAAGAUGACGACGGCUUCCCCGCCGUCCACGACUGCUACAUGAUCUAUGGCGGGCCUUCGACUCAGUUGACCACGAGGCAGCGCAAGAGGGAGCGUCGCGAAGUCUUCGCGGCGAGGAUGGCGGUGCCCCAGUACCUUAGCUGGUCAAGCACUCCCAUCACCUUCGACCGAGAAGAUCACCCUGACAAGGUGGUCGCCCCAGGCGUCUACCCGCUCGUCGUCGACCCCAUCAUCAUCAACACCCGACUCUCGAAAGUGCUGAUGGAUGGUGGCAGCAGCCUCAACAUCAUCUACCUCGAGACCCUCGACCUCCUCGGCAUCGACAGAGGACGCCUCCAGCCAAGCGCCGGCGGUUUCCAUGGCGUCGUACCAGGGAAAAAGGCACUGCCAGUAGGUCGAAUCGACCUACCGGUCUGCUUCGGCACGGCGGCCAACUUCAGGAAAGAAACCCUCACCUUUGAGGUGGUCGGGUUCCGAGGCACGUACCACGCCAUCAUCGGGCGCCCGGGCUACGCCAAGUUCAUGGCUAUACCCAACUACACAUACUUGAAGCUCAAGAUGCCUGGUCCCAAAGGCGUCAUCACCGUCAGUUCCUCCUUUGAGCACGCGUACGAGUGCGACGUCGAGUGCGUCGAGUACGGGGAGGCGGUCGAGAGCUCCACCGAGCUCGUUGCAAAGCUCGAAGCCAUGGCCGCUGAGGCUCCAGAACCUAAACGUCAUGCGGGCAGCUUCGAGGCGGCGGAAGGAACUAAGAAGAUCCCGCUCGACCCCAACAACUCCGACGGCAAGGUGCUGACGAUCAGCACCGACCUCGACCCCAAAUAGGAAGCCGUGCUCGUCGACUUUCUCCGUGCGAAUGCUGAUAUGUUUGCAUGGAGUCCCUCGGAUAUGCCGGGCAUACCAAGGGAAGUCGCCGAGCACUCCUUGGAGAUUCGAGCCGGUUCCAAGCCAGUGAAGCAGCGGUUGCGCCGAUUCGACGAGGAAAAGCGCAAGAUCAUUGGCGAGGAAGUCCACAAGCUUUUGACGGCCGGAUUCAUCAAGGAGGUUCAUCAUCCUGACUGGUUAGCGAACCCUGUAUUAGUUAAGAAAAAGAAUGGAAAAAUGAGGAUGUGUGUCGAUUAUACUAGUUUGAAUAAAGCAUGUCCGAAAGUUCCUUUUCCAUUACCACGCAUUGAUCAGAUUGUCGAUUCUACCGCGGGAUGUGAGACCCUUUCUUUCCUUGAUGCUUAUUCCGGUUACCAUCAAAUAAAAAUGAAGGAGUCCGACCAGCUCGCGACCUCUUUCAUCACGCCUUUUGGGAUGUAUUGCUACGUGACCAUGCCAUUCGGGCUUCGAAACGCCGGAGCCACGUAUCAACGUUGCAUGCUCCACGUUUUCGGCAAACACAUAGGGUCAACGGUCGAGGCCUACGUCGACGACAUUGUCGUCAAGUCAAAGCAACGAGGAGACCUGAUCCAGGACCUCGAGGUUGCCUUUAGCUGCUUACGCGCCAGCCGGAUCAAGCUUAAUCCCGAGAAGUGCGUUUUCGGCGUGCCUCGAGGCAUGCUCUUAGGAUACAUUGUUUCACAGCGCGGUAUCGAGGCCAACCCCGAGAAAGUCUCGGCCAUCAUGAAAAUGGGGCCAAUCCGAGACAUCAAGGGUGUCCAGAGAGUCACGGGGUGCCUGGCGGCUCUGAGCCGUUUCAUCUCGAGACUAGGAGAAAAGGCAUUACCAUUAUAUCGACUCCUGAAGAAGGUCGACAGCUUUUCUUGGACCCCCGAGGCCGAGGAAGCACUCGAAAAAUUAAAGAAGACGCUGACCUCGGCACCAGUCCUGGUUCCACCUCAACCUGCGGAGCCUCUACUCCUCUACGUCGCGUCGACGGCCCAGGUCGUCAGCGCGGCGGUGGUGGUCGAAAGGCCAGAGGAGGGUCACGCGCUGCCGGUCCAAAGGCCAGUCUAUUUCGUCAGCGAGGUGCUCUCGGAGACCAAGGCGCGAUACCCCCAAAUCCAGAAGUUAAUCUACGCCGUAAUCCUUGCCCGCCGCAAAUUACAGCAUUACUUCCUGGGUCAUCCUAUAACGGUGGUCUCUUCUUUCCCUUUGGGCGAGAUAAUCCAGAGCAGGGAGGCCACGGGAAGGAUAGCGAAGUGGUCGGUUGAGCUCAUGAGCGAGACUCUCACUUACGCGCCUCGAAAGGCCAUCAAAUCGCAAGCCCUGGUAGACUUCGUCGCGGAAUGGACGGACUCCCAGCUUCCCCCGACUCAGGUCCAGGCGGAGCUGUGGACAAUGUAUUUCGACGGGCACUCAUGAAAACGGGGGCAGGGGCCGGCCUACUAUUCAUCUCACCCUUGGGCGUCCACAUGAGGUACAUAAUCAGGAUUCACUUCGCCGCAUCUAACAAUGUCGCAGAGUAUGAGGCCCUCGUCAACGGUCUCAAGAUCGCUAUCGAGUUAGGAGUCCGACGCCUCGACGUCCGAGGCGACUCCCAACUCGUCAUCGACCAGGUAAUGAAAGCCUCGAGUUGCCAUGACCCAAAAAUGGAAGCAUACUGCAAGGAGGUGCGUCGACUCGAAGACAAAUUCCACGGCCUCGAGCUUGUCCAUGUCGCUCGACGCUACAACGAGGCAGCCGAUGAACUCGCCAAGAUUGCAUCUACCAGAGGCACAGCGCCGCCUGAUGCGUUCUCAAAAGAUCUACACGAGCCAUCCGUCGACCUAGGCACGGGGGCUGGCGUCGACGCCACCAUCGCCCGACCAACCAAUGAUGUCGAUGCGCUCUUGAUGGAGGAAGAGGUGAUGAAAAUAGAACGACGGCCGGGUCGACCAUUCGAUUGGCGCACACCGUUUCUCGACUGCCUUAUCCGCGGUGAGUUGCCAGAAGACAGGACAGAAGCUCGUCGUAUCGCUCGACGGGCCAAAUCAUACGUGAUCUACGGUGAAGACAACGAGCUAUAUCGACGAAGCCCAACGGGGGUCUUACAGCGUUGCAUCACCAUAGAGGAAGGCCGAAAACUCCUCGACGACCUACACUCGGGGGCUUGUGGUCACCACGCCGCCCCACGGACCCUUGUAGGAAACGCUUUUCGGCAAGGUUUUUACUGGCCAACGGCCGUGGCGGAUGCCAUCGAGCUAGUACGCUCGUGUCAUGGGUGCCAAUUCUACGCCAAACAGACGCACCAGCCCGCCCACGCUCUUCAGAUGAUCCCCAUCACCUGGCCGUUUGCGGUGUGGGGGCUCGAUUUAGUAGGACCUCUACAAAAGGCGAAAGGAGGGUAUACCCAUUUGCUGGUGGCUAUUGACAAGUUCUCCAAAUGGAUCGAGGCUCGACCAAUCACUAACAUCCGCUCCGAGCAGGCCGUCCUUUUCUUCUCCGACAUCAUCCACCGAUUUGGGAUCCCCAAUGUCAUCAUCACCGACAAUGGCACCCAGUUCACUGGCAGAAAGUUCUUGGAUUUCUGCGAUCAGCAUCACAUCCGCGUGAACUGGUCCGCAGUAGUCCACCCUCGAACUAACGGCCAGGUCGAGCGUGCCAACGGCAUGAUUUUGCAAGGACUCAAGCCAAGGAUCUACAACCGAUUAAAGAAAUUCGGCAAGAGAUGGGUCGAGGAGCUUUCCUCGGUCCUAUGGAGCUUAAGGACAACGCCGAGCAGGGCCACCAAAUACACCCCGUUCUUCGUGGUCUACGGCUCUGAGGCUAUCCUCCCCACAGACCUCGAGUAUGGGUCACCUCGACUCAAGGCUUACAAUGAGCAAUCGAACAAAGAAGCUCAAGAAAACGCAGUUGACCAACUCGAGGAGGCUCGAGACAUGGCCCUCCUCAACUCUGCUAGAUAUCAGCAGAAACUCCGACGCUACCACGACAAGCACGUGCGCAAGAGGGACCUCAACAUAGGCGACCUUGUCCUACGACGCCGGCAAAGCAACCAAGGACGCCACAAGCUAACCCCACCUUGGGAAGGCCCGUAUGUGGUGGCCGAGGUCCUUAAGCCGGGAACGUACAAAUUGGCGGACGAAAAGGGGGCAGUCUUCACCAACGCAUGGAACAUCGAACAGCUACGUCGAUUCUACCCCUAGAAGUCCUAGACUUACGAUCCUACUUUUUGUACGAAGACUUUGUAAAUGAACGCAUGAAUAAAUAAAGUCUUUCCCUCGAGCAGUUUUUUUUCUGUACCGAAAAUAGUUACGAGUUAUAGUCUCGACGUAAAAAGGGGAUGCCGACCAUGACCCAUCAUAGUCCGCACCCCCUCGGGGGCUACCAGAGGGACGACCCCUCCCCAAGCGUCGAAAAAGCCAAAAAGUUUCUCUCUUUCCUACUUAGUAAACCUCGAACGAUCGAGUAGUCGAGGCGCCUCGAGCCCCUCGAGGACCGAAGGAUAGCGAGCCUGAGAACACCUACGCCCCCGGGCUAUGCAAACUCUACUCAUUCCCUCACCCUCGAGGCGAUUGAAGCCGUCUUUUACGAAAAAUCGAACAAGGAACACAUUUGUAGGCGCAAAAGAAAUAAAAGAACAUCGAGUGGAAAGACAAACAAAACAUUUAAACAACCACAAAAAUACUGUAUCGCUUAGAAACAGGAUUAACUAAAUUUUAUACAAGGGGCCCCAGGCACCCCGAGCAGGCUCGCAGGCCUCAGUCCAUGGUACGAUCCUCGCCACCCUCACCUCCGCCCGAGCUAGCCUCAGGAGGGAGCACCUCAGGCUCGAAGAGCUUGGCCAACCUUUCUCCAGGAGCCUCCGCGUCGUCGAUCAAGGCAUGGAGCCUCUCCUCGUUCUCCGCGUCGGUCUUGGAGAUGUCGGUGACGAAGCCAUGGGACACCACCUCCAUGUCGUAGGAGAAGCCCGAGCAGACAACCGCCAUCGCCCGCUUCACCCCGAUGUGGAGGGCAUCCCGCACCCGAUCUCGCAGCGUCGCGCCUAUGUAGCACAACUGGUCGAUCAGGGCGUCGCCUCGAGCGUCCUCCCUCGACUCAUCCAUAGGCUCGACCUCCCAAGAGGUCGAGAGAUCGCUUAUCGCCGUCCGCACUCGACGGUUCAAAGCGACCUCAGCCUCGAGUUGAGCCUUGGCGUUGCGAGCCUCGGCUUGGGCGGCCAGGAGUUCGUCCUUGAGCCCUAUAAACGCCAAUACAGAGAAGGCUUAGAAAAAACUCAAACACACCUCGAAAAGGAAAUUCGACAAAGGAAACAUACCUUUGAUGCUCUCCUCUAGAGCCGUGUUCUCACCAACCAAUCUGGUAUUGGCACGCUCGAUCUCUCUGUUGGAGCGCGCCAGCUCAGUAUUGGCGACGCGGAGAUCUUCAAUCACCCUGCCGGCCUGGGCGACGGCUCCACUCUUCUCCAGCAGUUCUCCCUUCAGACGCUCGACGUCGUCGGAGAGACUGCGGGAUCGAGCUCGCUCUAUCUCGAGGUCUUCGAGGGCUUUCUUCUUCGCGUCCUCGGCGGCACCUCUGGCGACCUCAUUUUCCACGCAAGCCACCUUCAUCUUCUGGAAGGUAUCGCGGAGGGAGUCCAGGUCGGUUUGGAGAAGGCCCUUUUCCUUGUCCAGAUCCGCGAUGACGCUCUUGUGGGACAGGACCUCCUCCCGGGCUCUGGACGCGGCCUCCUCGACUGUAAGAGUCCGCUCUCGUAGCCGCACCGCCUCCUCCUCCGCCUUCUUCGAGACCUCUCGGGCCUCGGCCAAAGCAGCCUCCCUCACUUUCUUCUCCUCCUCGAGUGCUAUAAGAUCUUUGUAAGCUUUAAGCAGCUUUUCCUGCGACUCGAGGAGUUGAUCCUUGAGGAGGGGAAGCUGCUCCCAUCCGCCCCUCGUGGCGUGAAUGAAGCUAGAUUUGAUGCGAGAGGUCUCUUUCAUAUCCUGCGAAUCAGGAGUCAGGAGGAUUAGAACAUAGAAACCCAAAAGCACCACCAAGAUUGGAGCUCGAGAAACGCUUACAAAAUAGGCUGGGCCAAGCCCGUUGUUGAUGACGUCCGAUAGGAGCCCCACCACAUGUUUCAUCCAAAGGCGGAGCUCCUCGACGUGCUCCCACUUCUCGACCUCCUUCUUGUCGUCGAGGAAGAUAUUGGGCUCGGACGGGUCGCUGGAAGCUCGGAUACGAAUCCGAUCGGGACACCAGUUCUCCAUCUCCCGAUCGGCCCGCACCUUGACACCGCGGAGAAAGUUCUCGACGGUCUCGAGAGAACCCCCGUGGCGCAAGAACAGGUCGGCGAGGCAAGGGAACCGCCCGUCGUCAUCCACCGUUUUCCACGUACCGUCCUUGCUCCCAGACGAUCCGAUCUCGUCUUCCUCAGAGGGAAAACGGUCCUCCCACGCUCGACGCUCCCGGAGGAACCCUGGGGCGAUCCCGUCCAUGCCGUAGAGUGUCCUCUUGAUCUCGGACUCGGGGUCGGUGGGGGUGCGCAUCAUGCAGGCGAGCGCCACCACUCCGUCCGCUCGACCCGACUCUGCCCGGAUCGCGGCGGGCGCCCCCGGGAGAAGCCACGCUGGGGUGGGAGGCCCGUACACCGGCAAAUCUCCCUCUUGAUCGCCGGGCUCUUGCGACGCCUGCGGCACCGACCCGGCCAAAAUUCGAGGCGGGGACUCGAGUGGCUCGUUCUCUUGGCCCCCCAGCUGCUGCUGCUGCUCGUCCUGCUGAUGCAGCAGUUGCUCCUCCGGCUGGGGUUGCUGCUGCUGCUGCUCUAGUGACGGCUGCGCCGCCUCGCGCUCCCGCGCCUCCUCCUCCACCAUCUUCCUUUGCGUCUCGAGGGCUCGAAGGCCUGCGGGCCAGGUAGCCCGUCCUGCGACGUUGGGAGUCGACGCCUCUUCCUCCAUGGGUCGGACGCCCCCAGACGCUUCGUUACCAUCAGACGUGUCGCUGAUGGUGAUGGGUUCCCCCUCGACCCCCAAUCGAGGGGGCUCGGGGGCUCCCCCUGACACUCGCGUCUGGGGGGUCGCAUCAUGAGUUGGUGGCGGCGGAGUAGGCGCGGGACGAGGCGACGCCGCCUCGACGCCGGCUGAAGGUUGGGUGCUUGACGGGCCUGCAAAACAAAGGGUGAGGGUCAGACGUUAUGAUAACCGACAUAAUAUCGCGACACCCAGAAAUUAGCUACAAACCAGGUUCCGUGGAGGCGGCACCCGUUCUGAGCCUCUUGGCCAUCGAUGGUUGGGCCUGCUCGAGGGUCCGUUUCAGCCUGAGAAAAAGUCAGCAUGUGAGGAAAGGCGAGAGAAUGAGGGGACGAAGACCACAAUAACUAAAGGGCUUACCCCACGGGCAGAACGGCUCGCCUUCCGCCACCUCGACCAGCGGGCCUCGAGCCACCCCGCGUCGGGGCGCUAGGCCCCUCGAGGGCAGAAAUUGGCCUAGGCACGUCGGGUCUCGCUUGGCGGGCGCCGGGACUCGCGCUCCUACGACCGGCGUCACCUUUCUCAGAGGCCGCAGCGCGACCGCGGGUCAGCGGCCCCGACGCCUGGGACCUGGCCGGACCGCUCUCCUUGGGCGCCAGGGGAGGGCGCGGUGCGUCCUGGCCCGCCUUGAGCGCGGAAGGAACGUCGGGCCGGGGACGACGAGACCCGCUCGGAACCUCCUCCGGCACCUCCGUCCGGGGGGCGUCGACGUCAUCUCGAGGCGGGCCCUCGAGGAUCCGAUCGAGACGCGACGCCAUCCCCUCAGAGUCGUCGCUACUCUCGUCGUCAUCAUCAUCGUCGUUGGGGGAUUCUUCCUCAGGCUCCCCCCUCUGCCUGGAUUUGGCUCGACGCGCCUCUAAUGCUUGGCGGUCGAGAUUCUUCUUCUUCUCCCCCUUUUUUGCGGAGUCCUUGGCAGACUUCAACUUCUCGGCGGAUUGGCGCCGUUUGUCGCGAUCGACCUCGUCCUCCUUUACUGGAGGCCUCGAGGACCGGACAUCAAUCCGACCCUGCCAAAACUAAGGUAGACUUAGAAAACAAAGAGAGGGGAGAGGGGAAACCUAGAAUCGAGGAUGCGCGCAAGAAGAAAGCGUACCAGAUCGAUCGAGCCCGCGUCGGGUCGCAUGGGGAAGCCGUUGACGUGCUCCGGUUUAAAAUCACCGGCAAUUGCGGCCCUGACUCGGGCCGCGACUUCAUCGUCCGUCGGAGGCUCGCUGGACGUCCGACAUGCCUCGAGGUCCCGAGACGAGACGCCAGGGCCCAUCUCGUCCAUCCUCAGCGGUCGUGACAUCAGAGGGAGAACUCUCCGAUGAUGGACGGCCGAGAGGACGAGGGCGGCGGUCAAACCUUCCUGGCGAAGCUUCUUCAGGGCGUCGAGGAGAGGGUCGAGCCGAGGCUGAUGAGCUUGGACGACGCCGUAUGUCCAGUCCGCUGGGCGCUCCAAGAUCAGACGGCCCGAAUAGGGAGGUAGGAGGUUGUCGUCGUUCCGCAGGUAGAACCAUUGAGAGUCCCAACCGGCAUGGUUGGUCGACAACCCUACCGGUAUGUACUCCCGCGGCCGGUCCGUCUUCCCCGUCUUCUGCACCAGAUUGAGGCAACCCGCUCGCACGGGUUUCCUCACGCCCGUGGUUCCGGUGGAAGCGUGAAACAGCUCGCCCCUGUAGAGGUGGAGCCACAGCUCCCAGUGCGGCAUCAUCCCUAGGAAGCCCUCACAGACGGCGGCGAAGACCGCCGCCACGGUGAUGGCGUUCGGGGAGAAGUGCUGCAGCUCCACCCCAUAGUGGAAGCAGAGGGCCCGCAUGAAGCGGCUUGGAGGCGCGCCCAAACCGUGGCGGUGGAACUUGGCGAACGACACCACGUAGCCCUCGGGUGGCUGAGGCGUCCUGUGGCUCGCUGGCGGCGCGAUCCACUCUGGCGACGACAGCGAGGUGCGGCGGCGCAGCAGUCCCUCCUUCUCGAGCUCUAACAGCCGGCGCUCCGUCAUCGACGACGGGCGCCAGUCAUCGGCGGCGACGAGUCUUACAGGCAUAUCGGCUAACGGGACAGUGGGUUCGCUACGGCUCGAGGGGGCGAGUGCGCGUGAGAUGACAAGAAAGCGAAGGCAGCGAAAGAACGAGAGCGAGAAGGCGAAAGGGAGAGGAACGGCGGUGACGCGACGACAUAUUUAUAGGCGGCUGUCCGCCAACGGACAGAUCCGAGAAGUAAGGUAACUCCCCCCAUAAAUGCGCCGCCUGACAGCUCUCUCCCUCUCCUCACAGGCCGGACUCUCCGAAUUCCUCGCCGAUACGGUGUCGCAACGUCAUCCGCCUAAAAAGACGCGCCCAACGGGAAGAAAUGCGAACCGCCACGACCGUUUCCUUCCCUCGUAAGCCAGGGGACAUAACCACAAAAGUCUCGGGAGGUCGAUGGCUGGCCCGCCGAAAGGGUUCGACAGCCGAUCUCGAGCGCCAGAGUCAGGGAUCUCUAGCGAGUGGUCGAAACUCGAGGCCCGCCUCGAGGGCUUGCUGGCGAUGUUCAAGGUAGGGUCGAAACAGUCGAGAGGAAUCCCCCGAAGGGAGGCAUCGAGCCACUGGACUCUAUCGAAUGAGACCGGUAUCCCCGACCACGUCGACCCUGCUUUAUGAGGACGCCUCCGGGCUACAGCUGACCCCCCUCGAAAGGGGCACAGGUUCUCACUUGGACUACCCGCUAGGAACUCAAUUCGGGAUGAAAGACGCUCGCUCUAUCGGGAGUACGUCGAAACCCACGGGUAAAAACAAGCCAGUCAGAAUCUUCCACCACUGGUGUCGAAAGCGCUUCUACGAGUUAGACAACAUAACCCUCGAAGGAGUCAAAAACUCCUCCGAGGUCUCGGGGGCUACCCCGCGGGGUCGCUCGCGCGCCCCCACGAAAAUUCGACCGUAAAUCAAAACCUCCAUUCGAGCGCUAGCGCUCGAAUGAAGGCUCGGGGGCUACUGUCGAGGGUAUCGGUAAGGGGUACCCUCAGCGAUGCGCAUUAUGAGAUUGCCCAUACAAAGGUUGGGACCCCCAAUUCGACGCCUUAAUCUUACUUACGCGCCGCCGACGACGGUCGCAGCCUCGAAUACGGAAAUAGCGUCGAGCGAACCGGUCAGGGCUCGAGCAGCGACUACCGUCAAAGGCGGAAGCGGGCUCGAGCGAACCGAGAGACGUCGAGCGUUAGGACACUGCCCGCCGCCUGACGCGCGCACGCGGGCGGGAGCAUUAAAUGCAUCUGACGUUUCCCACCUAACACCCGGGUCACGGAAGGCGUGAUAGGGAACAAGCUUCUGUCCCAUCGUUCUUUUUGCAGCCUUCCCACCGAACGACCCAGGGUGCGUCAGGACGCAGGAAACGAGGAUGGAACGUCUAAUCGGGACCCCCUCGAGACACUCAAGGUCAGCGCUCCGGAUGUCAGCCUAUUGCGCGGCGCCCGACCCUCGACCGAACGAGGUCCCUUCCCGGGGACAAGUCGGGCAUCGACUGACACCACCACAGCUGCUCCGCCGGAUCCGCCACCAUACCAUACGAGCAUGCGAUCUCAGAACCAGCACAAGGCGGCUGGCAGGACAGCACGCAGGAGCACGCGUAAUCAUCACCAAGCUAUCAAGAUGGGACGGCUCGAGGCCAUGACGUACGGAAGCCUCGAGUAGGUCAGCGCUCCAUGCGGCUAUCGAUCCCUACUCUAAUAUCCAUGCAUGUACCCUUUGUCUCUCCUUGGAACUAUAAAAGGAGGGACUCAGGAAUAGAAGAGGGGACAACGCAAGCACACAUCCACACGUAGUAGAGCUGCACAUUUCAUUCCACACUUGUAUUCGCCCCUGUACAAGCACUUAGGUGCAAGAUAAUACAAACUCUCCCCCCCGCUGGACGUAGGGCCUUCUCUUGCCCGAACCAGGAUAAAUCUCUGUGUUUUCUCGCAUCACCAUCCGAAAAGGGGAGCACGCAUACAAAUUUACUCGUUGGUGUGAUCCCCCCCGGGGGAAAAACACCGACAAUUGGAUUCCCGCUUGCAUCAAUUGCUCUAGUCUUUAUAACGCUAGAGUAGUAAUUAAUAGAUUAGACGUGGUGUUUAGUCUUGCGAUUACCUGGAAUUGCACCCAAUCCCACGGAUUGUUGUGGUAGCCUUAGGGUAGUGACAGCCCUAACGGUCGAUGUAUUCCACCUCGUUCGGAUCGGUGUUUGUAGGACCGUAGUCGGAGCUUCCUAGCCCCCUUCUCAUCUCUUUCUGUGGUUAGUGUUCUGAUGUCCCGAAAUAGAUAAUCUUGAAGUAAUUCUUGAUUCUUAGAUCAACUAGAGAACUCUCAGGAAACUUCCUCUCUUCCCACCAAAAAAUAAUUAUAUAGUUAUCCUUGGGCGAUCUUGAUUCUUAAUUAGUACACUCACGUUCCCUGUGGAAAAUCGAUACUCUGGAAUACUCCCGGGUGAAGGCUACAUCGGUAUCCGUGCGCUUGCGGAUUUUUCUGUUUGCGUUUAAAAUACCCAACAAUUACCACUUGAUGAGAACACGGGUGGCCCGAUCUUCCGAAAGGUUCUGGUAACUCUCGAUUUGGUGGAGACGAGACACAAAUUGAUCCGGCUUCCGAACAACACGAUACGAAACCCUACAAUUUUCUUUAUUUUUUUCAUAUUUUUCUUUUAGUUAGGAGCACCAAAGGAGUAACCACAAAAAAAUUGAGCUUAAACAAGUGAAAGACAUGGCCCGCGAAAUUUUCUGAAGAUUGUGAAAAAUGUGAAAAAAACUUCACGAGGUGAAAACUCAAACUUUAGAGGAUCUAAAGUCAAUCAAACCUGCCAUUGAAAGGCACAGACAGAUCCAAAAAAUUUUUCUGAUCGAUUUUUUUAUAUGGAACGUUGAAAUCGGAGUUCGUAUGCGGAAGUUAUGGCUAUUUUAUGAACGGACUCCGGAUUAGAGGACAAAACGGUCCGAAAAUGAGAAAAAUUGCGGCGGUGGCUAAAAAUUGAUGGAAAUAGUGGAGAAAAACAUAUGAACUGGACCCUAACAAGACCUAACCAGCAACAAGACCUCGACCAGGACACAAACUCAACACUACGGACUCUGAAACUAAAAUAUGCAAAUUCUAUGGCGUGGAAGGGUUGUAGGACAGGAAAAUGAUAUGGCACUGGACUUAUGGGACGAACACAAGAACACUCAAAACUAAAGAUAGUUAUGAACCUAAUGGUAUACCUAAAGCUUUGAUUACCACUUGAUUUGAACAAGGGUGGUCUGAUCUUCCGAAAGGUUCUGGUAACUAUCGAUUUGGAGGAGAAGAGACACAAAUUGAUCCGCUUUCGAACAACACGAUCCGAAACUCAGCAAAUUCUUUUUAUUAUUUUUUGAUAUUUUUCUUUCAGUUAGGAGCACUAAAGAAGUAACCACAGAAAAUUUAAGCUUAAACAAGUGAAAGACAUGGCCUGUGGAAUUUUCUGAAGUUUGUGAAAAAUGUGAAAAAAACUUCAUGAUGUGAAAACUUAAACUUCAGAGGUGAAUUUGGAGGUUCUAAAAUUUUCAAACCCGCCAAUGGAGGGGACAAAUAGAUCCAAAAAAUUUUUUUGAUCGAUUUUGAUAUAUGGAACAUUGAAAUCGGAGUCCGUAUGCGAAAGUUAUGGCUAUUUUACGAUCGGACUCCGAAUUAGAGGACAAAACGGUCCGAAAGUGGGAAAAAUUUGCGGCGGUGGCCAGAAAUUGAUGGAAACGAUGGGGAAAAACACACGAACUGGACUCUAACAAGACCUAACCAGCAACAAGACCUCGGCCAGGACACAAACUCAACACUGCGAACUCUGAAACUAAAAUAUGCAAAGGCUAUUGCGUGGAAGGGUUGUAGGACACGAAAAUGAUAUGGCACUCGACUUAUGGGACGAAACACUCGAAACUAAGGGUAGAUGUGAACCUAACAGUAUACCUAAAGCUUUGAUUACCACUUGAUGAGUCAAGGGUGGCCCGAUCUUCCGAAAGGUUCUGGUAUCUCUCGAUUUGGUGCAGACGAGACACAAAUCGAUCCGGCUUCCGAACAACACGAUCUGAAAGCCUACAAUUUUUUUUAUUUUUUGAUAUAUUUCUUUGAGUUAGGAGCACCAAAGAAGUAACCACAUUAAAUUUGAGCUUAAACAAGCGAAAGACAUGGCCUGCGGAAUUUUCUAAAGAUUGUAAAAAAUAUGAAAAAAACUUCACGAGGUGAAAACUCAAACUUUGGAGGUGAAUUUUGAGGUUCUAAAAUUUUCAAACCUACCAAUGGAGGGGACAGACAGAUCCAAAAAAAAUUUCGGAUCAAUUUUGAUAUAUGGAAUGUUGAAAUCGGAGUUCGUAUGCGAAAGUUAUGGCUAUUUUACGGACUACGAAUUAGAGGACAAAAUAGUCCGAAUGUGGGAAAAAUUUGCGGCGGUGGCUAAAAAUUGAUGGAAACGGUGGGGAAAAACACACGAACUGGACUCUAACAAGACCUAACCAGCAACAAGACCUCGACCAGGACACAAACUCAACACUGCGGACUCUGAAAUUGAAAUAUGCAAAGGCUAUGGCGCGGAAGGGUUGUAGGACAGGAAAACGAUACGGUACUGGACUUAUUGGACGAACACAAGAACACUCGAAACUAAGGGUAGAUGCCAACCUAAUGGUAUACCUAAAGCUUUGUUUACCACUUGAUGAGAACAAGGGUGGCCCGAUCUUGUGAAAGGUUCUAGUAACUCUCGAUUUGGUGGAGACGAGACACAAAUCAAUCCGGCUUCCAAAUAACACGAUGCGAAACCCUUCAAUUUUUUUAUUUUUUUGAUAUUUUUCUUUUAGUUAGGAGCACCAAACGAGUAACCACAUAUAAUUUGACUUUAAAACAAGUGAAAGACUUGGCCUGCGGAUUUUUCUUAAGAUUGUGAAAAAUGUGAAAAAAAACUUCACGGGGUGAAAACUCAAACUUUGGAGGUGAAUUUGGAGGUUCUAAAUUUUCAAACCCACCAAAAGCUAGGACACACAGAUCCGAAAUUUUUGUCUGAUUGAUUUCGAUAUAUGGAACAUUGAAAUCGGAGUUCGUAUGUGAAAGUUAUGGCGAUUUUACGAACGGACUCCGAAUUAGAGGACAAAACGGUAAAUGGGAAAAAUUUGCGGUGGUGGCUAGAAAUUGAUGGAAACGGUAGGAAAAAACACACGAACUGGACUCUAACAAGACCUAACCAGCAACAAGACCUCAACAAGAACACAAACUCGACACUGCGGACUCUGAAACUGAAAUAUGCAAAGGCUAUGGCGCGAAAGGGUUGUAGGAUACGAAAACGAUAUAGCCCUGGACUUAUGGGACGAACACAAGAACACUCGAAACUAAGGGUGGAUGUGAACCUAACGGUAUACCUAAAGCUUUGAUUACCACUUGAUGAGAACAAGGGUGACCUGACCUUCCAAAAGGUUCUGAUAUCUCUCGAUUUGGUACAGACGAGACACAAAUCGAUCCGGCUUCCGAACAACAUGAUAUGAAACCGUGCAAUUUAUUUUAUUUUUUUGAUAUUUUUCUUUUAGUUAGUAGCACCAAAGGAGUAACCACAGUAAAUUUGAGCUUAAACAAGUGAAAGACAUGGCCUGCGGAAUUUUUUGAAGAUUGUGAAAAAUGUGAAAAAAAACAUUACGAGGUGAAAACUCAAACUUUAGAGGUGAAUUUUGAGGUUCUAAAAUUUUCAAACCCGCCAAUGGAGGGGAUAGAGAGAUCCAAAAAAAUUUUCGAAUCAAUUUUGAUAUAUGGAACGUUGAAAUCGGAGUUCGUAUGCGAAAGUUAUGGCUAUUUUACGAACGGACUACGAAUUAGAGGACAAAACAGUCUGAAAGUCUGAAAAAUCUGCGGUUGUGGCUAGAAAUUGAUGGAAACGGUGGGGAAAAACACACGAACUGGACUCUAACAAGGCCUAACCAGCAACAAGACCUCAACAAGAACACAAACUCAACACUGCAGACUCUGAAACUGAAAUAUGCAAAGGCUAUGGCGCGAAAGGGUUGUAGGACACGAAAAUGAUAUAGCACUGGACUUAUGGUACGAACACAAGAACACUCGAAACUAAGGGUAGAUGUAAACCUAAUGGUAUACCUAAAGCUUUGAUUACCACUUGAUGAGAACAAGGGUGGGCCGAUCUUCUCAAAGGUUCUAGUAACUCUCGAUUUGAUGGAGACGACACACAAAUCGAUCCGGCUUCCGAACAACACGAUCCGAAACAUGCAAUUUUUUUUAUUUUUUUUUUGAUAUUUUUCUUUUACUUAGGAGCACCAAAGGAGUAGCCACAGGAAAAUUGAGCUUAAACAAGUGAAAGACAUGGCCUGCGGAAUUUUCUGGAAAUUGUGAAAAAUGUGAAAAAAACAUCACGAGCUGAAAACUCAAAUUUCGGAAGUGAAUUUGGAGGUUCUAAAAUUUUCAAACCCACCAAUGAGGGGACAGACAGAUCUUAUUUUUUUUCUAAUCAAUUUUGAUAUAUGGAAUGUUGAAAUCGGAGUUCAUAUGCGAAAGUUAUGGCUAUUUUACGAACGGACUCCGAAUUAGAGCACAAAACGGUCCGAAAGUGGGAAAAAUUUGCGGCGGUGGCUAGAAUUUGAUGGAAACGGUGGAGAAAAAUACAUGAACUGGACUCUAACAAGACCUAACCACCAACAAGACUUCGACCAGGACACAAACUCAACACUGCGGACUCUGAAACUGAAAUAUGCAAAGGCUAUGGCGUGGAAGGGUUGUAGGACACGAAAACGAUAUGGCACUGGACUUAUGGGACGAACACAAGAACACUCGAAACUAAGGGUAGAUGUGAACCUAACGGUAUACCUAAUGCUUUUAUUACCACUUGAUGAGAAAAAGGGUGACCUGAUCUUCCAAAAGGUUCUGGUAUCUCUCGAUUUGGUGCAGACGAGACACAAAUCGAUCCGGCUUCCGAACAACAUGAUACGAAACAAUGCAAAUUUUUUCUAUUUUUUUUGAUAUUUUUAUUUUAGUUAGGAGCACCGAAGGAGUAACCACAGAGAAUUUGAGCUUAAACAAGUUUAAGACAUGGCCUGCGGAAUUUUUUGAAGAUUGUGAAAAAUGUGAAAAAAAACUUCACGGGGUGAAAACUCAAACUUUGGAGGUGAAUUUGGAGGUUCUAAAUUUUUUUGAUCGAUUUUGAUAUAUGGAACAUUGAAAUCGGAGUUCGUAUGCGAAAGUUAAGGCUAUUUUACGAUCGGACUCCGAAUUAGAGGACAAAACGGUCCGAAAGUGGGAAAAAUUUGCAGUGCUGGCUAGAAAUUGAUGGAAAUGGUAGGGAAAAACACACGAACUGGACUCUAAUAAGACCUAACCAGCAACAAGACGUCAACAAGAACACAAACUCAACACUGCGGACUCUGAAACUGAAAUAUGCAAAGGCUAUGGCGCGAAAGGGUUGUAGGACACGAAAACGAAAAAGCACUGGACUUAUGGUACGAACACAAGAACACUCGAAACUAAGGGUAGAUGUGAACCUAACGGUAUACUAAUGCUUUUAUUACCACUUGAUGAGAAUAAGUGUGACCUGAUCUUCAAAAAGGUUCUGGUAUCUCUUGAUUUGGUGCAGACGAGACACAAAUCGAUCCGGCUUCCGAACAACAUGAUACGAAACCUUGCAUUUUUUUUUUAUUUUUUUUAAUAUUUUGCUUUUAGUUAGGAGCACCGUAGGAGUAACCACAGAAAAUUUGACGUUAAACAAGUGAAAGACAUGGUCUACGGAAUUUUUUGAAGAUUGUGAAAAAUGUGAAAAAAAACUUCACGAGGUGAAAACUCAAACUUUGGAGAUGAAUUUUGAGGUUCUAAAAUUUUCAAACCCGCCAAUGGAGGGGACAGACAGAUCCAAAAAGAAUUUUGGAUCAAUUUUCAUAUAUGGAACGUUGAAAUCGGAGUUCGUAUGUGAAAGUUAUGGCUAUUUUACGAACGGACUACGAAUUAGAGGACAAAACAGUCCGAAAGGGGGAAAAAUUUGCGGCAGUGGCUAGAAAUUGAUGGAAACAGUGGGGAAAAACACACGAACUAGACUCUAACAAAGACCUCGACCAGGACACAAACUCAACACUGCGGACUCUGAAACUGAAAUAUGCAAAGGCUAUGGCGCGGAAGGGUUGUAGGACAAGAAAAUGAUAUGGUACUGGACUUAUGGGACGAACACAAGAACACUCCAAACUAAGGGUAGAUGUGAACCAAAUGUUAUACCUAAAGCUCUGAUUACCACUUGAUGAAAACAAGGGUGGCCCGAUCUUCUGAAAGGUUCUAGUAACUCUCGAUUUGGUGGAGACGAGACACAAAUCGAUCCGGCUUCCGAACAACAUGAUCCGAAAGCCUACAAUUUUUUUUAUUUUUUUGAUGUUUUUCUUUUAGUUAGGAGCACCAAAGAAGUAACCACAUAAAAUUUGAGCUUAAACAAGUGAAAGAAAUGGCCUGUGGAAUUUUCUGAAGAUUGUGAAAAAUGUGAAAAAACUUCACGAGGUGAAAACUCAAACUUUGGAGGUGAAUUUGCAGGUUCUAAAAUUUUCAAACCAACCAAAAGCUAGGACACACAGAUCUGAAAUUUUUUUCUGAUCGAUUUUGAUAUAUGGAACGUUGAAAUCGGAGUUCGUAUGUGAAAGUUAUGGCUAUUUUACGAACGGACUACGAAUUAGAGGACAAAACAGUCCGAAAGUGGGAAAAAUUUGCGGCGGUGGCUAGAAAUUGAUGGAAACGGUGGGGAAAAGCACACGAACUGGACUCUAAUAAGACCUAACCAGCAACAAGACCUCAACAAGAACACAAACUCAAAACUGCGGACUCUGAAACUGAAAUAUGCAAAGGCUAUGGCGCGAAAGGGUUAGGACACGAAAACGAAAUAGCACUGGACUUAUGGUACGAACAUAAUAACACUCAAAACUAAGGGUAGAUGUGAACCUAACGGUAUACCUAAUGCUUUUAUUACCACUUGAUGAGAACAAGGGUGACCUGAUCUUCCAAAAGGUUCUGGUAUCUAUCGAUUUAUUGCAGACGAGACACAAAUCGAUCCGGCUUCCGAACAACAUGAUACGAAACCCAGCAAUUUUUUUUAAUUUUUUUUUGAUAUUUUUAUUUUAGUUAGGAGCACCGUAGGAGUAACCACAGAGAAUUUGAGCUUAAACAAGUUUAAGACAUGGCCUGCGGAAUUUUUUGAAGAUUGUGAAAAAUGUGAAAAAAAACUUCACAAGGUGAAAACUCAAAAUUUGGAGGUGAAUUUUGAGGUUCAAAAAUUUUUCAAACCCGCCAAUGGAGGGGACAGACAGAUCCAAAAAAAAUUUUUGGAUCAAUUUUGAUAUAUGGAACGUUGAAAUCAGAGUUCGUAUGCGAAAGUUAUGGCUAUUUUACGAACGGACUACGAAUUAGAGGACAAAACAGUCCGAAAGUGGGAAAAAUUUGCGGUGCUGGCUAGAAAUUGAUGGAAAUGGUAGGGAAAAACACACGAACUGGACUCUAAUAAGACCUAACCAGCAACAAGACGUCAACAAGAACACAAACUCAACACUGCGGACUCUGAAACUGAAAUAUGCAAAGGCUAUGGCGCGAAAGGGUUGUAGGACACGAAAACGAAAAAGCACUGGACUUAUGGUACGAACACAAGAACACUCGAAACUAAGGGUAGAUGUGAACCUAACGGUAUACCUAAUGCUUUUAUUACCACUUGAUGAGAACAAGGGUGACCUGAUCUUCAAAAAGGUUCUGGUAUCUAUCGAUUUAUUGCAGACGAGACACAAAUCGAUCCGGCUUCCGAACAACAUGAUACGAAACCCAGCAAUUUUUUUUAUUUUUUUUUUUGAUAUUUUUAUUUUAGUUAGGAGCACCGUAGGAGUAACCACAGAGAAUUUGAGCUUAAACAAGUUUAAGACAUGGCCUGCGGAAUUUUUUGAAGAUUGUGAAAAAUGUGAAAAAAAACUUCACGAGGUGAAAACUCAAACUUUGGAGGUGAAUUUUGAGGUUCAAAAAUUUUCAAACCCGCCAAUGGAGGGGACAGACAGAUCCAAAAAAAAAUUUUGGAUCGAUUUGAUAUAUGGAACGUUGAAAUCAAAGUUCGUAUGCGAAAGUUAUGGCUAUUUUACGAACGGACUACGAAUUAGAGGACAAAACAGUCUGAAAGUGGGAAAAAUUUGCGGUGGUGGCUAAAAAUUGAUGGAAACGGUAGGGAAAAUACACACGAACUGGACUCUAAUAAGAUCUAACCAGCAACAAGACCUCAACAAGAACACAAACUCAACACUGCGGACUCUGAAACUAAAAUAUGCAAAGGCUAUGGCGCGAAAGGGUUGUAGGACACGAAAACGAAAAAGCACUGGACUUAUGGUACGAACACAAGAACACUCGAAACUAAGGGUUGAUGUGAACCUAACGAUAUACCUAAUGCUUUUAUUACCACUUGAUGAGAACAAGGGUGACCUGAUCUUCAAAAAGGUUCUGGUAUCUCUCUAUUUGGUGCAGACGAGACACAAAUCGAUCCGGCUUCCGAACAACAUGAUACGAAACCUUGCAAUUUUUUUUAUUUUUUUAAUAUUUUGCUUUUAGUUAGGAGCACCGUAGGAGUAACCACAGAAAAUUUGAGCUUAAACAAGUGAAAGACAUGGCCUACGGAAUUUUUUGAAGAUUGUGAAAAAUGUGAAAAAAACAUCAUGAGGUGAAAACUCAAACUUUGGAGAUGAAUUUUCAGGUUCUAAAAUUUUCAAACCCGCCAAUGGAGGGGACAGACAGAUCCAAAAAGAAUUUUGUAUCAAUUUUCAUAUAUGGAACGUUGAAAUCGGAGUUCAUAUGUGAAAGUUAUGGCUAUUUUACGAACGGACUACGAAUUAGAGGACAAAACAGUCCGAAAGUGGGAAAAAUUUGCGGCGGUGGCUAGAAAUUGAUGGAAACGGUGGUGAAAAACACACGAACUGGACUCUAACAAAGACCUCGACUAGGACACAAACUCAACACUGCGGACUCUGAAACUGAAAUAUGCAAAGGCUAUGGCGCGGAAGGGUUGUAGGACAGGAAAAUGAUAUGGUACUGGACUUAUGGGACGAACACAAGAACACUCCAAACUAAGGGUAGAUGUGAACCUAAUGUUAUACCUAAAGCUCUGAUUACCACUUGAUGAGAACAAGGGUGGCCCGAUCUUCUGAAAGGUUCUACUAACUCUCGAUUUGGUGGAGACGAGACACAAAUCGAUCCGGCUUCCGAACAACAUGAUCCGAAACCCUACAUUUUUUUUAUUUUUUUGAUGUUUUUCUUUUAGUUAGGAGCACCAAAGAAGUAACCACAUAAAAUUUGAGCUUAAACAAGUGAAAGACAUGGCCUGUGGAAUUAUCUGAAGAUUGUGAAAAAUGUGAAAAAACUUCACGAGGCGAAAACUCAAACUUUGGAGGUGAAUUUGCAGGUUCUAAAAUUUUCAAACCCACCAAAAGCUAGGACACACAGAUCCAAAAUUUUUUUCUGAUCGAUUUUGAUAUAUGGAACGUUAAAAUCGGAGUUCGUAUGUGAAAGUUAUGACUAUUUUACGAACGGACUCCGAAUUAGAGGAAAAAACGGUCUGAAAGUGGGAAAAAUUUGCGGUGGUGGCUAGAAAUUGAUGGAAACGGUGGGGAAAAGCACACGAACUGGACUCUAAUAAGACCUAACCAGUAACAAGACCUCAACAAGAACACAAACUCAACACUGCAGACUCUGAAACUGAAAUAUGCAAAGGCCAUGGCGCGAAAGGGUUAGGACACGAAAACGAAAUAGCACUGGACUUAUGGUACGAACAGAAUAACACUCAAAACUAAGGGUAGAUGUGAACCUAACGGUAUACCUAAUGCUUAUAUUACCACUUGAUGAGAAGAAGCGUGACCUGAUCUUCCAAAAGGUUCUGGUAUCUAUCGAUUUGGUGCAGACGAGACACAAAUCGAUCCGGCUUCCGAACAACAUGAUACGAAACCCUGCAAUUUUUUUUAUUUUUUUUGAUAUUUUUAUUUUAGUUAGGAGGACCGUAGGAGUAACCACAGAGAAUUUGAGCUUAAACAAGUUUAAGACAUGGCCUGCGGAAUUUUUUGAAGAUUGUGAAAAAUGUGAAAAAAAACUUCACGAGGUGAAAACUCAAACUUUGGAGGUGAAUUUUGAGGUUCAAAAAUUUUCAAACCCGCCAAUGGAGGGGACAGACAAAUCCAAAAAAAAUUUUUGGAUCGAUUUGAUAUAUGGAACGUUGAAAUCAAAGUUCGUAUGCGAAAGUUAUGGCUAUUUUACGAACGGACUACGAAUUAGAGGACAAAACAGUCUGAAAGUGGGAAAAAUUUGCGGUGGUGGCUAAAAAUUGAUGGAAACGGUAGGGAAAAUACACACGAACUGGACUCUAAUAAGACCUAACCAGCAACAAGACCUCAACAAGAACACAAACUCAACACUGCGGACUCUGAAACUAAAAUAUGCAAAGGCUAUGGCGCGAAAGGGUUGUAGGACACGAAAACGAAAAAGCACUGGACUUAUGGUACGAACACAAGAACACUCGAAACUAAGGGUUGAUGUGAACCUAACGAUAUACCUAAUGCUUUUAUUACCACUUGAUGAGAACAAGGGUGACCUGAUCUUCAAAAAGGUUCUGGUAUCUCUCUAUUUGGUGCAGACGAGACACAAAUCGAUCCGACUUCCGAACAACAUGAUACGAAACCUUGCAAUUUUUUUAUUUUUUUAAUAUUUUGCUUUUAGUUAGGAGCACCGUAGGAGUAACCACAGAAAAUUUGAGCUUAAACAAGUGAAAGACAUGGCCUACGGAAUUUUUUGAAGAUUGUGAAAAAUGUGAAAAAAACAUCACGAGGUGAAAACUCAAACUUUGGAGAUGAAUUUUCAGGUUCUAAAAUUUUCAAACCCGCCAAUGGAGGGGACAGACAGAUCCAAAAAGAAUUUUGGAUCAAUUUUCAUAUAUGGAACGUUGAAAUCGGAGUUCAUAUGUGAAAGUUACGGCUAUUUUAUGAACGGACUACGAAUUAGAGGACAAAACAGUCCGAAAGUGGGAAAAAUUUGCGGCGGUGGCUAGAAAUUGAUGGAAACGGUGGCGAAAAACACACGAACUGGACUCUAACAAAGACCUCGACUAGGACACAAACUCAACACUGCGGACUCUGAAACUGAAAUAUGCAAAGGCUAUGGCGCGGAAGGGUUGUAGGACAGGAAAAUGAUAUGGUACUGGACUUAUGGGACGAACACAAGAACACUCCAAACUAAGGGUAGAUGUGAACCUAAUGUUAUACCUAAAGCUCUGAUUACCACUUGAUGAGAACAAGGGUGGCCCGAUCUUCUGAAAGGUUCUACUAACUCUCGAUUUGGUGGAGACGAGACACAAAUCGAUCCGGCUUCCGAACAACAUGAUCCGAAACCCUACAUUUUUUUUAUUUUUUUGAUGUUUUUCUUUUAGUUAGGAGCACCAAAGAAGUAACCACAUAAAAUUUGAGCUUAAACAAGUGAAAGACAUGGCCUGUGGAAUUAUCUGAAGAUUGUGAAAAAUGUGAAAAAACUUCACGAGGCGAAAACUCAAACUUUGGAGGUGAAUUUGCAGGUUCUAAAAUUUUCAAACCCACCAAAAGCUAGGACACACAGAUCCAAAAUUUUUUUCUGAUCGAUUUUGAUAUGUGGAAUGUUAAAAUCGGAGUUCGUAUGUGAAAGUUAUGGCUAUUUUACGAACGGACUCCGAAUUAGAGGACAAAACGGUCUGAAAGUGGGAAAAAUUUGCGGUGGUGGCUAGAAAUUGAUGGAAACGGUGGGGAAAAACACACGAACUGGACUCUAACUAGACCUAACCAGCAACAGGACCUCAACAAGAACACAAACUCAAAACUGCGGACUCUGAAACUGAAAUAUGCAAAGGCUAUGGCGCGAAAGGGUUAGGACACGAAAACGAAAUAGCACUGGACUUAUGGUACGAACAGAAUAACACUCAAAACUAAGGGUAGAUGUGAACCUAACGGUAUACCUAAUGCUUUUAUUACCACUUGAUGAGAACAAGGGUGACCUGAUCUUCCAAAAGGUUCUGGUAUCUAUCGAUUUGGUGCAGACGAGACACAAAUCGAUCCGGCUUCCGAACAUCAUGAUACGAAACCCUGCAAUUUUUUUUAUUUCUUUUGAUAUUUUUAUUUUAGUUAGGAGCACCGUAGGAGUAACCACAGAGAAUUUGAGCUUAAACAAGUUUAAGACAUGGCCUGCGGAAUUUUUUGAAGAUUGUGAAAAAUGUGAAAAAAAACUUCACGAGGUGAAAACUCAAACUUUGGAGGUGAAUUUUGAGGUUCAAAAAUUUUCAAACCCGCCAAUGGAGGGGACAGACAGAUCCAAAAAAAAUUUUUGGAUCGAUUUGAUAUAUGGAACGUUGAAAUCAAAGUUCGUAUGCGAAAGUUAUGGCUAUUUUACGAACGGACUACGAAUUAAAGGACAAAACAGUCUGAAAGUGGGAAAAAUUUGCGGUGGUGGCUAAAAAUUGAUGGAAACGGUAGGGAAAAAACACACGAACUGGACUCUAAUAAGACCUAACCAGCAACAAGACCUCAACAAGAACACAAACUCAACACUGCGGACUCUGAAACUGAAAUAUGCAAAGGCUAUGGCGCGAAAGGGUUGUAGGAUACGAAAACGAAAAAGCACAGGACUUAUGGUACGAACACAAGAACACUCGAAACUAAGGGUUGAUGUGAACCUAACGAUAUACCUAAUGCUUUUAUUACCACUUGAUGAGAACAAGGGUGACCUGAUCUUCAAAAAGGUUCUGGUAUCUCUCUAUUUGGUGCAGACGAGACACAAUUCGAUCCGGCUUCCGAACAACAUGAUACGAAACCUUGCAAUUUUUUUUAUUUUUUUAAUAUUUUGCUUUUAGUUAGGAGCACCGUAGGAGUAACCACAAAAAAUUUGAGCUUAAACAAGUGAAAGACAUGGCCUAUGGAAUUUUUUGAAGAUUGUGAAAAAUGUGAAAAAAACAUCACGAGGUAAAAACUCAAACUUUGGAGAUGAAUUUUCAGGUUCUAAAAUUUUCAAACCCGCCAAUGGAGGGGACAGACAGAUCCAAAAAGAAUUUUGGAUCAAUUUUCAUAUAUGGAACGUUGAAAUCGGAGUUCAUAUGUGAAAGUUAUGGCUAUUUUACGAACAGACUACGAAUUAGAGGACAAAACAGUCCGAAAGUGGGAAAAAUUUGCGGCGGUGGCUAGAAAUUGAUGGAAACGGUGGCGAAAAACACACGAACUGGACUCUAACAAAGACCUCGACUAGGACACAAACUCAACACUGCGGACUCUGAAACUGAAAUAUGCAAAGGCUAUGGCGCGGAAGGGUGGUAGGACAGGAAAAUGAUAUGGUACUGGACUUAUGGGACGAACACAAGAACACUCCAAACUAAGGGUAGAUGUGAACCUAAUGUUAUACCUAAAGCUCUGAUUACCACUUGAUGAGAACAAGGGUGGCCCGAUCUUCUGAAAGGUUCUAGUACCUCUCGAUUUGGUGGAGACGAGACACAAAUCGAUCCGGCUUCCGAACAACAUGAUCCGAAACCCUACAUUUUUUUUUAUUUUUUUGAUGUUUUUCUUUUAGUUAGGAGCACCAAAGAAGUAACCACAUAAAAUUUGAGCUUAAACAAGUGAAAAACAUGGCCUGUGGAAUUAUCUGAAGAUUGUGAAAAAUGUGAAAAAACUUCACGAGGUGAAAACUCAAACUUUGGAGGUGAAUUUGCAGGUUCUAAAAUUUUCAAACCCACCAAAAGCUAGGACACACACAUCCAAAAUUUUUUUCUGAUCGAUUUUGAUAUAUGCAACGUUAAAAUCGGAGUUCGUAUGUGAAAGUUAUGGCUAUUUUACGAACGGACUCCGAAUUAGAGGACAAAACGGUCUGAAAGUGGGAAAAAUUUGCGGUGGUGGCUAGAAAUUGAUGGAAACGGUGGGGAAAAACACACGAACUGGACUCUAACUAGACCUAACCAGCAACAGGACCUCAACAAGAACACAAACUCAACACUGCGGACUCUGAAACUGAAAUAUGCAAAGGCUUUGGCGUGAAAGGGUUGUAGGACACGAAAAUGAUAUAGCACUGGACUUAUGGUACAAACACAAGAACACUCGAAACUAAGGGUGGAUGUGAACCUAACGGUAUACCUAAAACUUUGAUUACCACUUGAUGAGAACAUGAGUGACCUGAUCUUUCAAAAGGUUCUGGUAACUCUAGAUUUGGUGGAGACGAGAAACAAAUCGAUCCGGCUUCCGAACAACAUCAUAUGAAACCGUGCAAUUUUUUUAUUUUUUUGAUAUUUUUCUUUUAGUUAUGAGCACCAAAGGAGUAACCACAGAAAAUUUGAGCUUAAACAAGUGAAAGACAUGGCCUGUGGAAUUUUUUGAAGAUUGUGAAAAAUGUGAAAAAAACUUCACGAGGUGAAAACUCAAACUUUGGAGGUGAAUUUUGAGGUUCUAAAAUUUUCAAACCCAACAAUGGAGGGGACAGACAGAUCCAAAAAAAAUUUCGGAUCGAUUUUGAUAUAUGGAACGUUGAAAUCGGAGUUCGUAUGCGAAAGUUAUGGCUAUUUUACGUACGGACUACGAAUUAGAGGACAAAACCGUCCGAAAGUGGGAGAAAUUUGCGGUGGUGGCUAGAAAUUGAUGGAAACGGUAGGGGAAAACACACGAACUGGACUGUAAUAAGACCUAACCAGCAACAAGACCUCGACCAGGACAAACUCAACAAUGCGGACUCUGAAACUAAAAUAUGCAGAGGCUAUGGCGUGGAAGGGUUGUAGGACAGGAAAACGAUAUGUUACUGGACUUAUGGGACGAACACAGGAACACUCGAAACUAAGGGUAGAUGUGAAACUAAUGGUAUACCUAAAGCUUUGAUUACCACUUGAUGAGAAAAAGGGUGGCCCGAUCUUUCGAAAGGUUCUGGUAACUCUCGAUUUGGUGGAGACGAGACACAAAUCGAUCCGGCUUCCGAACAACACGAUCUGAAACCCUACAGUUCUUUUUUAUUUUUUUAAUAUUUUUCUUUUAGUUAGGAGCACCGAAAGAGUAACCACAUAAAAUUUGAGUUCAGACAAGUGAAAGACACGGCCUGCGGAAUUUUCUGAAGAUUGUGAAAAAUGUGAAAAAAACAUCACGAGGUGAAAACGCAAACUUGGGAGGUGAAUUUGGAGGUCCUAAAAUUUUCAAACUUGCCAAAGGCAGGGACAUACAGAUCUGAAUUUUUUUUCUGAUCGAUUUUGAUAUAUGGAACGUUGAAAUCGGAGUUCGUAUGGGAAAGUUAUGGCUAUUUUACGAACGGACUCCGAAUUAGAGGACAAAAUGGUCCAAAAGUGGGAAAAAUUUGCGGUGGUGGCUAGAAAUUGAUGGAAACGGUGGGGAAAAACACACGAACUAGACUCUAACAAGACCUAACAAGCAACAAGACCUCAACCAAGACACAAACUCAACACUGCGGACUCUGAAACUGAAAUAUGCAAAGGCUAUGGCGCGUAAGGGUUGUAGGACAUGAAAACGAUAUGGCCCUGGACGUUUGGGACGAACACAAGAACACUCGAAACUAAGGGUAGAUGUGAACCUAACAGUAUACCUAAAGCUUUGAUUACCACUUGAUGAGAACAAGGGUGACCUCAUCUUCCAAAAGGUUUGUAACUCUCGAUUUGGUGCAGACGAGACACAAAUCGAUCCGGAUUCCGAACAACACGAUCCAAAACCCUACAAUUUUUUUUAUUUUUUCGAUAUUCUUCUUUUAGUUAGGAGUAACCACAGAAAAUUUGAGCUUAAACAAGUGAAAGACAUGGCCUGUGGAAUUUUCUGAAGAUUGUGAAAAAUGUGAAAAAAACUUCACGAGGUGAAAACUCAAAGUUCGGAGGAGAAUUUUAAGGUUCUAAAAUUUUCAAACCUCCCUACAAUGGGGACAUGCAGAUCCGAAAUUUUUUUCUGAUCGAUUUUGAUAUAUGGAACAUUGAAAUCGGAGUUCGUAUGCGAAAGUUAUGGCUAUUUUACAAACGAACUCUGAAUUAUAGGACAAAACGGUCCGAAAGUGGAAAAAAUUUGCGGCGGUGGCUAGAAAUUGAUGGAAACAAAGGGGAAAAGACACAAACUGGACUCUAACAAGACCUAUCCAGCAACAAGACCUCGACCAGGACAAACUCAACACUGCAGACUCUAAAACUGAAAUAUGCAGAGGCUAUGGCGCGGAAGGGUUGUAGGACUGGAAAACGAUAUGUUAUUGGACUUAUGGGACGAACACAGGAACACUCGAAACAAAGGGUAGAUGUGAACCUAAUGGUAUACCUAAUGCUUUGAUUACCACUUGAUGAGAACAAGGGUGGCCUGAUCUUCCGAAAGGUUCUGGUAACUCUCGAUUUGGUGGAGACGAGACACAAAUCGAUCCGGCUUCCGAACAACACGAUCCGAAACCUUGCAAUUGUUUUUUAUUUUUUUGAUAUUUUUAUUUUAGUUAGGAGCACCAAAAGAGUAACCACAUAAAAUUUGAGUUUAAACAAGUGAAAAACAUGGCCUGUGGAAUUAUCUGAAGAUUGUGAAAAAUGUGAAAAAACUUCACGAGGUGAAAACUCAAACUUUGGAGGUGAAUUUGCAGGUUCUAAAAUUUUCAAACCCACCAAAAGCUAGGACACACAGAUCCAAAAAUUUUUUCUGAUCGAUUUUGAUAUAUGGAACGUUGAAAUAGGAGUUCGUAUGGGAAAGUUAUGGCUAUUUUACGAACGGACUCCGAAUUAGAGGACAAAACGGUCCAAAAGUGGGAAAAAUUUGCGGUGGUGGCUAGAAAUUGAUGGAAACGGUGGGGAAAAACACACGAACUGGACUCUAACUAGACCUAACCAGCAACAGGACCUCAACAAGAACACAAACUCAACACUGCGGACUCUGAAACUGAAAUAUGCAAAGGCUUUGGCGCGAAAGGGUUGUAGGACACGAAAAUGAUAUAGCACUGGACUUAUGGUACAAACACAAGAACACUCGAAACUAAGGGUGGAUGUGAACCUAACUGUAUACCUAAAACUUUGAUUACCACUUGAUGAGAACAAGAGUGACCUGAUCUUCCAAAAGGUUCUGGUAACUCUAGAUUUGGUGGAGACGAGAAACAAAUCGAUCCGGCUUCCGAACAACAUCAUAUGAAACCGUGCAAUUUUUUUAUUUUUUUGAUAUUUUUCUUUUAGUUACGAGCACCAAAGGAGUAACCACAGAAAAUUUGAGCUUAAACAAGUGAAAGACGUGGCCUGUGGAAUUUUUUGAAGAUUGUGAAAAAUGUGAAAAAAACUUCACGAGGUGAAAACUCAAACUUUGGAGGUGAAUUUUGAGGUUCUAAAAUUUUCAAACCCAACAAUGGAGGGGACAGACAGAUCCAAAAAAAAAUUUCGGAUCGAUUUUGAUAUAUGGAACGUUGAAAUCGGAGUUCGUAUGCGAAAGUUAUGGCUAUUUUACGUACGGACUACGAAUUAGAGGACAAAACCGUCCGAAAGUGGGAAAAAUUUGCGGUGGUGGCUAGAAAUUGAUGGAAACGGUAGGGAAAAACACACGAACAGGACUGUAAUAAGACCUAACCAGCAACAAGACCUCGACCAGGACAAACUCAACAAUGCGGACUCUGAAACUGAAAUAUGCAAAGGCUAUGGCGCGGAAGGGUUGUAGGACAUGAAAACGAUAUGGCCCUGGACGUUUGGGACGAACACAUGGAAUAACACUAGGAGUGUUACAUCAUCGGCAGUAAUCUAGUGCUGAGGAUCCACCGAUGUGCUUUUUUCAGCUGCCUCUGAAGUCAAUACUUUGGUCUUUCCCUUAGCAUCCAACAUAUUUGUAGGGAAAUGAUGUUGGUCGAUCUUCAUCGGCUUUUGAGCUUUGGAGUUAUCGAACCUAAUUCUCCCAAACUCUAUAGCCGACUGCAGCUGCUGCCUGAAAACUUUGCAUUCAUUUGUACUAUGAGAUGUUGCAUUAUGCCACUUGCAAUACUUAAUCUUCUUUAAUUCUUCUGCCGAUGGAAUCACAUGGUUAGGUGACAACUGAAUUUGCCCCUCCUGAAGCAAAAAGUCAAAUAUCCUAUCGGCUUUGGUGAUGUAAAAUGCAAACUUUUCUGGAUCUUUAUGCCCAAAAGGGCAAGACAUCGGCUUUUUAUUUUUUACCCAUUCUGCCAAGCUGAUGACUGGCUCUUCAUCAGAAUCUGAGCUCGUUGCCUCAUCGACAAAUGACACCUUUUUGUUCCAUGCCCUCUUGGGUUCAAAAGCUUUGAUAUCUUGGUCAGAAAUCCACUGCACUAAAUGGCUCAGACUUUCAAACUCUUGAGAAGCAUACUUGUCUUUAAUGUGUGGCAACAACCCUUGGAAAGCCAAAUUGGGGAGCUGCCGAUCAUCCAAAACCAGACUAUAACAUUUAUUCUUAACAUCUCGCAACCUUUGCACAAAGCUCUCAACCGAUUCGUCAUUGCUCUGCCUUAGCCUGACUAAAUCGGUAAUCUUCUUCUCAUGCACUCCAAAAAAGAAGUAUUUAUGGAACUAUUUUUCUAGAUCGGCCCAGGUGAUCACUGAGUUUGGAGGUAAUGAAAUAAACCAAGUAAAGGCCGAUCCAGACAAAGAUGAUGAGAAUAAGCGAACCCUUAACUCAUCUCUGUUAGCAGUUUCCCCAUACUGGAUGAUGAACCUAUUAACAUGCUCCAUGGUUGACGUAUCAUCCUGCCCCGAAAACUUGAUGAAAUCCGGCACCUUGUACCGAUUUGGAAGCGGAAUUAAGUCAUAUGCUGGAGGAUAUGGUGUCCGAUAAGAGUAAGUGUUGACUUUGGGUUUUAUCCCAAAUUGGUCUCUCAUCACCUCAGCUAUCUUAUCGGCCCAGUAAGCAUCAGCAUAUUGCCGAUGAGCUUGUUGUGGAUUCGGCAUCUGCUGAUAAGCUUCCACAUGUCUCUGCAGUGCACGAUCCCUACAGAACAUAGGAUUAGCCACCGCCUGUUGACCACCAACUUGGUGACCAAGAUUCAUCGGCUGGUUGAUCAACCCUUGAUUUUGAAAUCCAGGUUGCAUUGGUCCUUAUUGAAAUCCCAUAGCCUGAUGAUUUUGCUGAGGCAUCUAUGGAAAGACAAACUGCCCUGUCCAUCCAUUGUUAACAUUCAUCGGCGUAGGUCCUGCCGAUGGCUGAUAAUUGGGCAUCAUCAUCAAAUUGACAUACCCUAGCUGUGUCAUAAACCUUUGCUGUGUCAGCAUUGGAUCUGCCGAUGCAUUAGGCAUCUAGAACGUUGGCAUUUGAGAAUUCCUAGCAAAAGGUCUUGUAGUAGUAGUUGUAGAAUACUUGGGAUUCUGAGUCAUCGGUGAGCCUGGGGGUGCCGAUGCCAUAGGAGCAUUGCCUGUCAUGUCAGCCACUUGAGAUGUCCCAGAACUUUUUGCCAUAAAUUCUGGGGGCAUACCAUAUCCCCACCAAUUGGGAGGAACAAAUACUGACAUUGCUGAUGCUAAUAAAUCUGUAGCAAGUUUGACUUGUCCCUCUGAUGUUGAUGGAUUAGUCGUCAUCGGUGUAGAUUGCGCAUUAGUCAUCCCUAAUGUGCUUGGAGGAGAAGUAACUUCCGUACCUGCAACCGCUGUAGUAGCCGAUGGAGCCGUAACCGAUGAUGAUCCUGGCUGNNNNNNNNNNNNNNNNNNNNNNNNNNNNNNNNNNNNNNNNNNNNNNNNNNNNNNNNNNNNNNNNNNNNNNNNNNNNNNNNNNNNNNNNNNNNNNNNNNNNGGCUAGAGUAUAGUGAGUCCAAGGAUGCUGCUUAUUGCUUAUAUUGUUAUCUUUUCUUUAAUUCGGGGAAGACAGAAAAAUUUGGAAGUUCUGUCUUUGCGCGAUCGAGGUUAUCAAAAUUGGAAGAAUGCUAAGGAUACUUUUCAUAAGCAUAGUGCUUCGAAGACUCAUACAGAGGCCAGACUGAAGUGUGAUGAUUUUAUGAACCAAAGGACAAGUGUGGGUCAAAGAAUAGUUGAGGUAAGCACGGAGGAAGAAAAACGAUAUGAGAUUCGUCUGACAUCAUCUUUAGAUGUUGCAAGAUUUCUCAUAUAUCAAGGGCAACCUUUUCGUGGAGAUGAUGAGAGUUCUACUUCCCUCAACAAGGGUAUGUUUAGAGAGAUGGUUGAUUGGUAUAAGGAUAAGGUAGAUAUAGUCAAUGAUGCAUAUGAAAAAGGUUCUAAAAAUUUCCAGAUGAUAUCUCUUGAUAUACAAAAGGAUCUUACAAAAGCUUGUCCUGAGGAAGUCACAGCUGUCAGUAUGGAUGAGAUCCUUGGUAGAAAAUUCUCAGUGCUUAUUGAGGAGUCUCGGGAUGUAUCAAUAAAAGAGCAAAUGGCAGUGAUUCUAAGGUUAGUAUUCCACAGUUGCAAUUUUGUUCAUAGAUUUUAUUAUAAUUAUUUCUGCAAUUAUACUAACACAUAAAUAAAUAUACUGUGUAGGUUUGUGAAUGAUAAAGGGAAAGUGGUGGAGAGAUUUCUUGGGCUUCAGCAUGUUCAGAGUUGUACAGCUAUUGCAUUGAAAGAGGCUUUGGUCAGUAUGCUUUCAAGUCACAAUUUGUCUAUCUCUAUGCUUCGUGGGCAAGGGUAUGAUGGAGCCUCUAAUAUGAGAGGUGAAUUUAAUGGGGUCCAAAAACUGAUCCGUGAUGAAAAUCCUUAUGCUUUCUAUGUGCAUUGUUUUGCCCAUCAAUUGCAACUAGUGGUGGUUGCUGUUUCAACUUCUAGUGCAGAUAUUGCAGAUUUCUUUAACUAUGUUCCUUUAAUAGUCACCAAUGUGGGUGCAUCUUGUAUGAGAAAAGAUGCUUUGCUUGCAAAGCAUCAAGAUGUGUUGCUAGAAAAUAUUGAGAAGGGUGAGAUUAUGACUGGAAGAGGUUUAAAUCAAGAAAGUAGCCUAGCUAGGCCAGGAGAUACUAGAUGGGGUUCACAUCUUAAAACUUUGCUUCGCAUUUUGGUGAUUUGGGAGGCUAUCAUAGAUGUGCCUGAGAUAGUGAAGAAAGAUUCUAUUAAACCAAGAAAUAACAGUGGAGCUUUAGGAUUAAUUAAAAAAAUGGAGAGCUUUGGUUUUGUGUUCAUCCUGCAUUUGAUGAUACAAUUGUUGAGCAUGACAGAUAUUUUGUCACAAGCUUUGCAAAAGAAGGAUCAAGACAUAGUUGAAGCAAUGCAUUUGAUCUCAGAUGUGAAAGAUAGCUUGCAGGAUAUGAGGGAAAAUGGAUGGGAGCCAUUACUCAAAAGAGUGAUAACAUUUUAUGAGAAGAAUGAGAUUGAAGUGCCGGAUAUGGAUAAGGAAAUAAAUGUUAGAGGGACAUCUAGAAGAAGGAAGCAAAAGGUAACAAACAUGCAUUACUAUCAUGUUGAACUUUUUCUGGUCGCCAUUGAUGCCCUCUUGACUGAGAUGAAUCACCGGUUUAGUGAAACUAGUUCAGAGUUAUUACUAUGUAUGGCUGCUUUUAACCUAAGGAACUCCUUCUCUAAUUUUGAUGUGGACAAACUUGUGAGGCUUGCUGAAAUUUAUGCCGAUGAUUUUGAUAUUGGUGAACUUGCUGUUUUGCCAAAUCAUCUUACACAGUUUGUCAACCGUGCUAGAAGAACUCCAGACUUUCUUGGAUGCAUUGAGCUUGGAAAAGUUGCUGAAAUUAUGGUCAAGACUAAAAUGCAUACAUCUUAUAAAUUGGUUUAUCGUCUCAUUGAGCUAAUCUUGAUACUGCCGGUGGCAACAGCUUCAGUUGAGAGAAUAUUUUCAGCCUUGAACAUUAUAAAGAUAGAUUUGCGCAAUAAAAUGGGUGAUGAAUGGCUCAAUGAUUUGAUGAUAUGUUAUACUGAGAAGGAGAUAUUUAGAAAGAUUGAUAAUGGAAAGAUCAAAAAGCGGUUUCAAGAGAUGAAAAAGCGACGUAUGUUAUUGCCUAGAAAAGUAGUGGUACGCUCUAUUCUCUUCUAAAUUUAUAAUUUGGAGGUCCAUAUAUGUAUCACUAUUAUGUCUAUUUGCGUAGGUUGCAGCUUCGGAGGAAUAAUGUGGGGCAAGCGUAGUGAUUAGUUUUGCAAUUGGUCCUUUCGGUAUUUAUGAACUUCAUCUUUUUCUUUCAUGACAUAUUUUGUGAAUUUUUGUUGUUGGUCGACGUUUUCAAUAUAAGCUUGAUUUAUGCUAUUAUAUAUACGUCUAUUGUGAAAGGGUCAUAGUAGAGAUAAAUUGUCGUAGACUUGUUCAGCCCGCCCUAAAUUUUUUUUCUAGCUUCGUCGAUGCUCCCACGCCGCAUCCCCUCUCCACAAGGAACCGCAGCCCCCUGAUGUGCUCGUGUCGAGGUCGGCUUUCGGCGACGAUCUCCACGAUGGCCUGCGAGCUUGGCUCCGGAUUCGCGCCUGAGUGACGGCGCGGCUUCGGCCGAUCACCUGCUCCGGUCCUGCCUCACCUGACCGAGCCGUGCUCGUGCGCGCCGACCAGUCGACGGACGACGACCGAGCCGCACUCGUGCGCAGCAGGUGGAGGAGGACUGGGUCGCCGCGGAACCUGGCUUCUAGGACGCCAAGCUCCAAGCUCGUCUCGCCCGCCACCGGAGGACCUCGCCAAGCCGCACGCGACGCGACGCCUGCGACCCCUACACCGGCCUCUGGAACUGGUCCAACCCGGCUUCUACGACGCCCAGCUCCAAGCUCGUCUCGCCCGCCACCGGACGACCUCGCCAAGCCGCACGCGACGCGACGCCUGCGACCCCUACACCGGCCUCUGGAACUAGAACUGGUCCAUGUCCGUUCCUUGCUCCCCUCCCCUUACUGAUUUGUUUUGUUUCAGCACCUGAUUUUGGUAGUGAUUUGUUUCUGAAUCCUGGAUAGAUAGAAUCGUUUCAGCACUUUGUUAUUGAUUUGUUUUGUUUCAGCACCUGAUUUUGGUAGUGUUUUAUUUCUGAAACCUGGAUAGAUAGAAUCGUUUCAGUACCUGCAUUUUUGUAUUGAUCUGAACCUGCAUUUUCUGAUAGAUCUUUUGACAGUGAGGACACUACUACUACUAUUAGGCAGUAGCAAUCACUACAUUAAACCUGAAAUUUCUUAUUGAUCUCAGCCUGUUUCGCUUGGUCAUCUCGAAGUGAUGUGAGCCUUGGAAAUGUACUGAAUUGAAAUCCACUUGCGGCAAUGUCUUUUAUAAAAUCACUGUACUUUUGGUAGUUCUAUAAUGGCUGAGUAGGAGUGUUUUGGCUUUGCAAGUAAUUUUUUUUAGACAAUGGAUUCAACUCUGGGCUGCAAAACAGUAAAGAUUUACGUUUUAGAAUCACCUAGCUGGAUGCUUGCAACAGAUGUAUGUUUCUCCAAAAAGGGUUGGAGGAAAGUAGAUAUCCUUUUCAAUCGAUCAUCAUACUUUUGUCACUAUGCCCUGUCUAUAUUUUCUUUUAUAAACAUUAUUUGCAGGUUUUAGAAGAUUUACGCACUAUUUGGAACUGUGUACUGACAGAAAAGCUGCAUAUCAACCCAAGAGACAGAGGUCUAUAUUCUGCAAUUCUUGUUCUUGGGAAGACAUUUGACAACCUAGGUAUUUCUCCCUUCAUCAUACAUAGAAUUUUACGGUGCAAGGUGGGCUCACCAGUUUAUGAAGUACAUCUUUUUGUCUUGAUGAAAAGCUGAUUUCCUGUAGUUAGCACUUUUGUCUAUUUUGUAGAGAUAUAUAGAUAAUAACCAAUAGUUUGUAUAUGGAUGUAGUUUGUCUUGGAUGGUACUACUAUGCACACUAUGCAGCUAAGAAGUAAGCCUGUUGCUUUAUUAAUUAGUCAAAAUUUUGAUAACCUGUAAUGUGUGCAAUCCCCCUGCUUGGCUUAUCUGGUUGGAAAAUAGAUAGAUGAUGUCCAGUUAGAAGAUGAGGAUUGGUUGGACAAUAGAUGAUAUAUGGACAAUUGGAGAUAUAAUAUGAGGAUUCACAGUUGAAAUGCUGAUUAAAACUAAAUUAGGUCUAACUUGGUGGAAUGGCAUCUUCGGUUUAUUCUCCUGUUUACUCUUUUCAUUGCCUGUCACUAUAUUGAAAACUGAGAGGCCUAAAUGCAAUGUCAAUCCAUAGUUUCUUAGUUAUGCUAAUACAAGAAAAAUGCUACCAUUUGUUCGCCUGCUGCCUUUCAGAUCCAUGGGAAUAGUUUUGCAUAUUCUCUUCUGCUAUAACUGUUAUAUUUGUGCUGUUACCGCUUACCAAUAAGACAUUGAGUGAGAAAAUAAUUAGCUUGCAGGGUUGGAUCGCUGUCCAAAAUCAGGUUUAACAGCCUGAUCCAUACGACUGUGAACCUACGCCCUUUACAAGGUUGGCAGAUUCCUAUCUGAAACUACAAUUUUCGCACUAAUUACUUUAAAGAAUACGCAACUAAAUGUAAACCAAAGUUUUGUGUUCCUCCUUCAUAUCAUAUCAUAUUAGCUGUUACCUUUAGCUUUUGAACUCCAUUUUUCAUACCUCCCAUCAUUUUAUCCUAGGUGGCUAAAUUUGUGCAGUGGUUGCAAAUUAGAUUUGCCAUAAUGGUUGGAAAUAUAUUUCUCAUCCAGCCUAAGUAUGGCACAUGCAUUGAUUUUUAGUAGUGAGCAAUGAGUAGUACUGUUUUCAAUAUCAGGAUCAUUUGAUGCUUUUUAACUAAAAAAAGCGGCAAUCAUCUGUGGUACAAUGUCUAAAUGCAUUCAUUUGUAAGCCAAGUGGAGUUUCUGCUAAUUUGACAGGAGUACCAUGAACCCCAAGUUUAGAAAAUGAGUUGUGUCUACUUUGUUGAACAAAAGCAAUGAGAUUAUUUUUGCUGGGACAGCCUCAGGAAUCCUCGCCUGCAUCUUGGUGGCCCGCAUCUUGGGGACCUGUUCCUUGGUGCCAGUGAGGUCAGUCAAUAAGUCUAUGGUUUUGAUCUGUACUUGCAUUGUUGAGAUUAUGCUCUUGAUGUAUCAAAAUGUGUUUUUCCUCUUAACAAAAAAUGUGUAAGCAAUAAUCGCCUCGUGUCUAAUCAUCCAUAGUUUGUGUGAGUUCAAAAGGAAAUAUGUUGUAGUUUAGUUUAGAGCAACAAUUUAGUUGGCAAGUGACAAUGCAACUUGCAGUAUUCUCUAACUCACUGAACUCAUUUCAGUGGAGUUUUUACUUCACUGAUGAUCCCUGAUUUUUUUGUAAUAAAAAUGUUAUCACUGCAUAUUUUCUGCCUCUUUUAUAACUGUAAAUUGGUUCUAUCGUCUAACCAACAAGACUUAUGUCAGUAUAGAACUUCGAUAUUCAGAGUUCGCCUAUUUUGAAUUGUUGCUACCAAGUGAUUGAUUUGCUGUAAUUUUAUGGUUCGCACCUGCCAGGUUUAGGUGCCAGUUUUACUUCACAUGUUAGUCUUUGGGUUUCUGUAGUUACUUUGCAUUAAGACUUCAUCGCAUAAGAAAUAUACUUGCAUAGCUAUCUUUCAUAUUCUUCAACUAAUGGUUACCGUAUUAUACAAGUGGUUGAAUUGUGGGUACACUCAAUGGAAAAUAGUGCCUCUCAUACACCAUUGGGUGACAAGACUAACACUACUAAUAGAGGUAACCAAAAUAGAAGAGGAAUUAUUAUAUAUUAUUCAGUGUAUUGUUUAUAUUAUAUAAAUGAUAAUCAAUAAUAUAUGGAUGUAACAAUGCAGGAAGCGAUGUUGCACAACACAGGAAAGAAAGGGAUAAGGCUCGAUGGCACGCAAUGUCGCAAGAGAAAAAAGACGAAAAAAAUAAAAAACGUCGUGAAGCAUAUAAAAGAAGAAAGGAGCAACAACUAUGGAUCGAAACUACCGAUGGUUGUAUAUUAUAAAUGUUGGUGAAUAAUAAUAUAAGAUACUAUUGUUGUUUCUCAUAUUCGUUGUAUCAUAAUUGAUAGAUGCUCAGGAUUCAUCAAACAAGGAAAAUGUGGAUCCUAAUAAAACAGAUGAUUGGUUGCAUAGGAAUGAUUCACUCCAUGCAAACAAUAUUGAUGAAAUACUUAUAUCCAAUCCGAUGUCAGGUAAUAAAAUUAUUGUUAGUAUGGAAUCAACACCUACAUUAUUGUGUUGUGUAGCUUUAUAUACAACGAGAGGAUCAUUGAUGGAUAUUUGGUGUGUAUUGUUUGCCUUCCUACUAUCUUAAUUCAAACACGACUAUGUAGGUGAUGCUGGUGAUGUAGUUACUGCUCGCAGCAUAAUUAAUCAGGCAAUGCGAUCACAAUGCAGUGAUGCUUCACGUAAGAGAGAGUUAACAAAUGAGCAAGUCAUGGCUCAUCGUGCAAAAUGUAGGAUGCAACAUGCAAACAAGACACCUGAGCAACGGGAACAAAGGCGCAAGCGACAGAGGCUUUAUAAUCAAGUUCCAUCUCGUAAAGAGGCAAUGAAAGUGGCUAAAAAACGCUCCAGGGAGGUGCGGACACACACUUUAAACAAUGAGUCCAUCGCAAUGGAAAAUCCACUCUUUAAUCCAAUUAUGGAGUGGCCCACUGCAAACUCAUCUAUGCCAGCUCAUGGACCCACAGUAAGCCCUAGCGAUUGGGCUAUCCCAGAAUCCGCUACAACACCUAUUUGCUUCCCACAAGCUCCUGAUGAGACAAAUGAAGAUGAUGAUGGACGCAGUGAUAUAUCGCCUGGUCAUAUGACACAUAGAUAAAAUAUACCAUGUGGGCAAAGGCAUGCAUUGUUAACCCGCCGUAACAAUGUGUUUGAGCGCCUCAUCGGUCAGAACACGGGAAAAUCUAAUAAUGAGGGUGAAGACAACGUGGAAGAAAAUACGCCAUUACCUCAGUCAACCGUGACCAACAACGGUAAAUAAUGAGGCCUUCGUAUCCAUGUUCAUUCACAUGAAACAAACUUUAUUCCUACCUUAACUAUGUCCGUUAUGUGAUUGACAGGAAGCGCUAGAUCAAACAAUCAAAAUGCAUCAGCUACACCUGGACAACCAUUAUUUGAUGAUACAAGUAAUUUGCACUACUUUGAACAUUGUGUACAAUAUUUGUGUUCCUUUAAUGUUAUCUGAGUUGUAAUAUCUCAUGACAUUGUGAUAAUCUCAGAUGAUGAUGAGGGUGAUAUAUUUGAAGAUGAUGAGUAAGAGGAUGAGGGAUGCUUGUUUGCUGGGCAAGGUAUUUGUACCAAAUACCUAUUACCUUUUUAAUUAUCCGCUCUUUUAUCUAACCUUGAUUUUUUUUGUUCAAAUCAUUUCAACAGAAGAAUCAGAUGAUGAUGUCCAAAGUGAUACUACUGAGGAAGACACGACUUCUAACUUUGAAGGACCUGACCCGUAUGAAGUGGUGUAUAGUAACAUGCCUAGGGAGACACACAUGCUAAAACCUGUACCAGAUUGCAAACAUUGUGGAGCAAAGAGAUUUCCAAAAGAACCUCCUAGGUUUUGUUGUAGCAGCGGAAAGGUUGAGCUGCAUGCGCCUGUCGUACCAAACCAGCUCAUGAGGCUUUGGACAAGCUCUGACGCGGAUGCUAGGCACUUUUGUAACAAUAUCAGGUUUUUCAAUGGUCACUUCUCUUUCACUUCCCUAUAUUGUCGCCUCGACAGUGCUACUGCUAACAUUAGAAAUAGUGGCAUAUAUACUUUUCGUGCACAUGGCAUGAUCUAUCACAACAUAAGGUCAUUUGGCAGAGAAGAUGGUAAGGAGCCUAGGCAUCUUGAGCUUUACUUCUAUGAUGAUGAUCCGAGCCUUGAGUACCGGUACCGAAGGUGUCGUGAAGAGCAGUAUCAAAAAGAUAAAGAGGUUAUAAACAGACUCGUGGCCAUCCUUCGUGACAACCCAUAUUCACAACAUUUGAGGAGUCUGGGGAACACUGAACACCUCGAGGACUAUCGUCUUACACUUAACCUUGAUCAGCGAUUGGACCAAAGGACAUACAAUGUCCCGAUGGCUUCGGAGGUGGCUGCUGUUUGGAUCGAGGGUAGUGAACUCCUUGGUCAAUUUCAGAAUAGUGUUGUCCUGCAUGGGAAAGAUAGGAGCAGGCAUGGCAUCCGAUCGUACCAUGGAUGCUAUGAUGCUCUCUCAUACCCACUCUUUUUCCCUAGAGGUGAGCUUGGAUGGCACAUGGAUAUCCCAAAAAAAGGUGUUACUAUAGAGGAUGUCAACACGGCUCAUGCCCUGCGUAAGGCUCGUACUGGUAUUGAAGAAGAAGAAGAAACAGGUUUGUAUAUCUUCUUGUACUUUUCAUGCAAAUCAAAUCAUUAUCACAUGAACACCUCUAAUACCAUAAUUUUUUCAGACUCCCUAGGAAAUUUAUGUGUUUCGGUGCAUGACUACUACUGCUACAAGUUCUAGAUACGGCCAGGAAUAUUUAAUCCCAUACUUUAUGGCAAGCGUCUUUUCCAACAAUUUGCAGUGGACACGUACAUCAAAAUCGAGAGUUCUCGAUUGGAUUACAUACGCAAUCAUCAAACUGAGAUUAGAGCAGAUCUCUACCAAGGAUUGGUUGAUACCCUACAUGCUGGUGAGGGUAGAUCAGAAGCUGUUGGAAAGCAAACAGUGAUGCCUUCAUCGUUUAUCGGAGGCCCGAGGGACAUGAGGUGUAGAUACAUGGAUGCCAUGGCACUGGUGCGAAGAUUUGGAAAACCAGAUAUAUUCCUGACUAUGACAUGUAAUCCAAAGUGGAAUGAGAUCACACGUGAGUUGUACCCUGGACAAACACCACAGGAUUGUCCGGACAUUAUUGAUCGAGUUUUUAGGGCAAAACUAGAAGAGCUUAAGCACAUGUUGUUAAAAAAGGAUAUCCUUGGAAAGGUUCGUGCACACAUGUAUGUUGUGGAGUUCCAGAAGAGGGGUCUUCCGUAUGCACAUUUUUUGCUAAUCAUGGACAGACGCUACAAGAUCACGUGCCCAGAGAAGUAUGACCUUCUCAUCUCUGCCGAACUCCCAAACAAGAAGAAGUAUCCAGAUUUGUAUAAAAUGGUUACAAAGCAUAUGAUGCAUGCACCUUGUGGAAUACUUAAUCGCAAUUGUCCGUGCACAAAAGGCCGUGAAUCAUGCAAGAACCAUUACCCACGACCUUUCUGUGAUGCCACAUUACAGGGCAAGGAUUCAUACCCAUUUUAUAGAUGACGAGACAAUGGCUGAAAAGAAAAAGUUCGCGGAUACGAGCUUGACAAUAGAUGGGUUGUGCCUUAUAACCCAUACCUCCUACGUUUGUUCAAUUGCCGCAUCAAUGUUGAGGCGUGUGGGAGCAUCAAGGCUGUGAAGUAUUUAUUUAAGUACAUUUACGAGGGUCAUGACCACACGUUUGUGGCUGUAAGAGAGGCUGACAAGGAGGACAAUGAAGGAAAUAUCGAUGAGAUCAAACAGUACAGGGAUGCUAGAUGGAUAACUCCACCAGAAGCCUUGUGGAGGAUAUGUGGUUUUGAUAUAAGUGAUAGGUCCCCUUCGGUGUUGUCCUUGCAGCUCCAUCUUCCUAACAUGCACAUGGUGUCAUUUUAUCAGCGUGAGGGUGUUCGAGAUGUGCUUAAUCGUCCAGGUGUUGAAAGGUCGAUGCUCACAGCCUACUUUGAGAAGAACAACACAUCUGAGCAUGCUCGAGGUAUAUUGUAUUGAGACUUUCCUUAAUACUAUAAGUGGGACUCACAGGGAAAACAAUGGAUUAGGAGGGCACAAAAGAAUCAUUUAAGACAGAUUGGAAGAGUUGUAUGUGCUAAUCCGGCUGAAGGGGAGCGUUAUUAUCUUAGGGUGCUUCUAAACCACGUGGCUGGUGCUACCUCAUUCACUGAUCUAAGGAUAGUGUCUGGUGAACUACUACCGACUUUCCGUGAAGCUGCAGAAAGAAGGGGCCUCAUUGAAGCGGACAACACGCUGCAUGAGGGCCUUGCUGAAGCUACUCUGUGGAUGAUGCCAUGUGCACUACGAAGGCUCUUUGCAACAAUCUUGGUUUUCUAUGAGCCAAGUGAUGUAUUAGAACUCUGGGAAAAGCAUAAGGAGGCAAUGUCAGAGGACUAGAGGCGCAAUAACCAAUCCAGCUUUGCAGUGGAGCAGAUGGUCCUCAUAGAUAUUCGGAAGUUGUUACAAUCAAUGCAGAAGGACAUAAAGAUGUACCCACUUCCUGAUAUCGAUGACACAUAUGAUCCAUCUGGCGAUAUUCCUAGGGAGAUUUUUGAGGAGGCCAGCGUUGAGGCAAGCAUUGAUAACAUGGCACUAUCAAAGACCCUUAACGAGGAGCAGCAGGCAGCCUAUAAUGAGCUUAUGUUUGCUAUUGAUAGCGAUGAUGGGGGUUUGUUCUUUGUGGAUGCACCUGGUGGCACCGGAAAGACUUAUCUAUAUAGGGCUCUGCUUGCUACUAUACGUAGUCAGAACAAGAUUGCCGUGGCAACAGCAACAUCUAGUGUUGCUACAUCAAUAAUGCCCGGUGGCAGAACCGCCCACUCAUGCUUCGAGAUUCCCCUCACCCUUGAUGAUGGGGCAUUUUGCACCUUCACAAAACAGAGUGGUACUGCUAAGCUGCUUCGGACUGCAUCCCUUAUUAUUUGGGAUGAAGUGACGAUGAUGAAGCGGCAAGGUGUCGAGGAGCUAGACAACAGUCUUCGUGAUAUCAUGGACCGUCCUAACCUGCCAUUUAGGGGGAAGACUAUGGUGUUUGGUGGAUAUUUCAGGCAAGUUCUUCCAGUUGUUCGAAGAGGGUCUAGGACUCAAAUAGUUGGUGCAUCACUACGGAUGUCAUACCUUUGGAAUUCCAUGCGACAUCUCAAAUUGGUGCGAAACAUGAGGGCAAAGAACGAUCCAUGGUUUGCAGAAUACUUGCUACGCAUUGGGGGGCUCUGAGGAGGCUAAUGGUGAUGGUGAAAUUCGUCUUCCUGAUGAAAUAUGCAUACCACAGACUGGGAAAGACAGUGAUCUUGAUACGUUAAUUGACUGCAUAUUUCCUGCCCUCAAUGUCAAUAUGUCAAACAAUAGCUAUAUCACCACACGAGCAAUAUUAUCUGCACGGAACGACUCGGUUGAUAUGAUUAACAUGAAAAUGAUAAGUCGUUUCCAAGGGAAUGAGAUGGUGUACCAUAGCUUUGACAGUGCAGUGGAUGAUCCACAUAACUACUACCCAUCUGAAUUCCUUAACACUUUGACCCCCAAUGGUCUCCCUCCACAUGUGUUAAAGCUCAAGAUUGGAUGCCCGGUCAUAUUGCUAAGGAACAUCGACCCUGCGGGUGGACUUUGUAAUGGAACCAUGUUGGUGGUUCGAGGGUUCCAAGGAAAUAUUAUCGAUGCAGAAAUUAUGGUUGGAGAUCAUGUCGGAAAGCGAAUCUUCCUUCCACGAAUCCCAUUAUGGCCCUCGGAUGACGAGAUUUUCCCGUUUCAGUUCAAGAGGAAGCAGUUUCCUAUUAGACUCAGUUUUUCCAUGACGAUUAACAAAGCACAGGGGCAGACUCUUCCCAAUGUUGGUGUGUAUUUGCCUGAACCAGUGUUCUCUCAUGGUCAGCUGUAUGUUGCACUAUCUAGAGCCACUGCCAGAUCAAAUAUUAGGAUCCUUGCAGUCCCGCCUAGAGAUAAGAGUGAUAAUGGUAAUAAAAAAAAUACAAGAAUAAAUGGUACAUACACAAAAAAUAUUGUCUAUAAAGAGGUCCUCACUCUAUAAAAAAGGUAGUCUUCUGUUUUGGUCUACUAUUAUAUUCUUACAUUAUGCCCUUAAUUAGUGACAUUUUUCGUGUCAUAUCAAACUGAAUAAUAUAAGAACUCCGAAUGAAUUUAUGCCCUUCUGCAUUGAUUCGUUCAUAUGUUAUUGACUGGAUGUACAAAAUGUUAUAUUAUUUCUAAUAUGUUUUUUCUUGGAUUAAUAUUUAAAUUUUUACGUUAAAAGGUAUUACUGACUAAGCGAAUGUUGUUGGUUGCUAUAUUGGAAGAGAAAUAGAGAGCAAUUCAAUGUCCACACCCUCCAUCUGAGGUCCCAGGUGACUAGGCCGCUGCCGACUGGUGCCCAGAUCUACAGUCCACUGAGUGCCGCACACUGCCUUUGGUUUGAAUAAUUUUAUUGGGUGAAAAAUAAUUAUUUAAAUCCGAUUUUAGGUUUGAUUUGGUUCUCGUUCUGUUUAUAAUAUUUACACUCAAGAGUUUAGUUCAAAAAAAUUAUAAGUUCUAUAAAUAUUUUAAACAGAAUUUCAAAAUUUUAUUACCUUCAAAAAGCAAUUGAUUUUGAUUUUCAAAUGAAUUUACAAAAGAAAAGGAAAAUAAAAGGGAAACCUCCCUCCCCUCUCUCUGGCCCAGUCCGGCCCAGUAAAAUCUUGGGUCAACUAUCAGUAGGGGGAGCACAACGCCUCCCUAUCCCUGAGUCACAGACAGUCGGAGCCCGCCUGUCAGCCUUUAUCCUCUUGCUGACAAGUUGACCCCACUUGUCAGGGUCAUCCCUUUCCUCUGUCCAUAUCCGUUCGUGGCCGGGUCUCACUGAGCCAACCGAAGGACCGGUUCUAAAGGGGACGAAGCUUGGCCGCCGCCGCUCCGUGAUCCUCUCUUGCCUCCCCGGUCUUGCGCGCACCGAGUCAGCCAUUUCUGCUCCCUCCUCUGUCAUUUAAAGCGAGCUCUCUUCCACCUGCAGCACCAUCGUCCACGUCCUCCUUCUCAGUGCCGAGCUAAAGACGAGAACACCGCCAUAAGUUCCGCGGUGAGCUCCUUCUCUUUCUGCACUAAGCUUUUACGCCCUCCGUGGUCUUUAGAACGAGCCGAACUUGCUCUGGCAAUGCUCAUCCCACAGGUUAUGACGCCAUUGUCGCGGUUUCUCCCUGCGGCGGAGAAGGAGGCGGCGGAGGGCAGUGUAGUCGGAGUCGGGGCGGGACGAGGAGGAGGUCUGUGGAUGAUGGUGCUGCAGCUGAGGAAGACAGGGUCCGUCGGCAUGGAAGGGGCGGUGGGGCACUCCGGGGAGGAGGAGGAGGAGGCCGCGGCCGAGUCGGCGGCAGCCAUCUCCACCGUCUCGCAGUCCGCAUGGCCGGUCGUUCGCGCGCGCCCCGGUGAGAAAUGAGGGACGAGGCCAGGCGGGGACUUGGAUGUCGGGGAAUCGGGCACUUCGGGCGGUCGUACGUGCGUGUGCUGGCAAGAAGUGGCUUGUUUCGUGUCCGUGACCUGUAGUGUCUGAACUUCGAUGUGGGCAAAUUCAGUUUUGAAUUGUUUUAGAUGCAAAUACAAUUUAUAUGUUUCAAAUAUGUUUUGAUACUAACUAAUUUAUUUAUAGUAUUACACAUUAUGGCUAUAUACGCUGCAUCUUUUGUAUCAUUGGAAGAUGCCUUGAGCUCUCCAAACAACACACAAGUUGACUUAAUAGCAGUCGUGGCUCAUGUCGGGUUGUGGGACUGCCAGACAUUAUUUCCUAACUCGUUUAGGGAGGUUGCACUCAAAGAUAAUAGGUAAAUGUUUAUUUGAAGAAAAAUAAUCUUUUUAAUGUCCUUGUGUUUUGUUUAAUCAUACUAAUAACUAUUACUAUUUUUUUAUGCAGCCGAAUUGGAUUUCUUCGUGUGUUCGCAUAUGAUGCUGAAGAAAACUACCACAUGUUUUUUUCAGCCGGUACUGAGAAUUAUUUUCUCAUUCCCACUAAUGUGGUUGUCGACUCAUAUGCACGUAAGUUUAUAUGAACAUAAUUAAAUUUUGGUAUUACCAACAACACAAAUAAUAAGCCUCAAUUCAUAUCAAUACAUCAUAGGUUGUCUGACAAUGACCGCUCAUAGUUCCAUGAUUUUUGUGGGUCCAAGGGAGUAUUGUCCUAUUUUUGCAUCUCUAGAAGGUAACUUUCUCAUCCUAAUUAUAAUAAUAUUAUAUAGAAUUAUAAACAUCCUGUUAGAGACAUCUAAUAUUUAUUUUGCAGCUAUCAGAGACGAAAUGCGAAAUAUCGCUUGUUACAAUGAUCAAAUUAAAAUUGCACUCAAUGCUCGAGCUAAUGAGAUCAAAAGGCUCGAAUACAAUGAAUGUACAGCUAUGGCAAACAAUCAAGGUGUCAUUAGUUACGUUAAUGGUUGCAACAUUUAAGAGGUAGAUGAAGAAGUAUUUGUGAUUAAAUAUUAGUCUUUUGUUGUAUCAAGAUUCUUCAAAGCAUCUUGUUUUACAAUAAAUGAAUGUACCUACACUCUACAAUUCAUCUCUUGUAACGUAACGAUUAAAUCUAUCAAGGCUCAUUACAAUCAAUGCUCAAUAGAUUAUUGAUCAUAAAUCUUGGUCAAAUUGCAAAAAGGUAUUGAUCGUAAAUGAUUAUUGCCCAAUAUUUUUGGUCAAAUUGCGAAGAAAGAGCAAAAUUUGAUAACAAUAGUUUAAUCGUAAAUGAUUAUUGCCCAAUAUUUUCAGAGACACAAUUGAUGUUUCUAUAAAUUAAGAAGAUAACAUAAUUCACAAAAAAAAAACAUGCAUGACCUGGUCAUGCCACAACAUAACUAGCGAGUCAGCCACGGUCUCUACCACCCGAAACUCACGAAAGCAUGACUGCCGUCAACACUGCCAGGCUUCAAUCGGUAGUUUCCAUAUCGAACCUCUAGCUCCCUCCGACUUACAAUUGCCCGAGACGGCGCACCUGGCUGCCGCCUCGACGCCUCUGUGACCCAGCACGCGGUUAUCCUCCAAUUCGGCGCGGAGAGCUCGGUGGCCCUCCCUUCGACGUCGCCUCAACUUGGCACGGGGCUUCAUCUGCACAAAGGCGGACGUCAACUUGCCAGGCCGUCCUGUUCCGUCACAUCGGCCGAAGUCUCCUUCUCCACCGCAGCAACCGUUGUUCGACACGCGCUCGUCGACGACGCUGGAUGCCACGACACCACAUGUAGGCUUGGCUGGACCACCUCCACCUCCAUCACGAUAGAUGCUGAGGUCUCCUUGCCACCGCUGCACACAGAUCUUCGUUGGUCGCUUCAUCAGAGUGUUGUCGGGGACCCAAGAGGUAUGCCCUUGUCAAAAAACGAAAGAGGUAUGCACUUGGCUAACUGAUGCUACAUAUGUGUUGGCGUGUUGGUCUUCUAUGUGGUACAUUUUAAAUUCAGGCUAAUAUAAACUAUGGAUCAUUAGACAUAGAGUUAAUUUGUUGCUUACACUUUUUUAUAUAUCAAGAUCAUGAACUCGACAAUGCAAGUACAAAUCAAACCAUACGCUCAUUGACUGACCUGAAUAUGGAAAAUUUAGAAUACAAGAUGACCAGGAGACACUGAGUCAGUGCAUUUUACCUAAACUUUUUAAGCUCAUUGACUGACUUGAACAUUGUUCAAACCAUAAGCCAAUUGACUGACCUGAACAUGGUUCACUAUAUUUUCUUCCUCACAUAUCUGAAUCAGUGCAUUUUACCUACACUUUUUAAGCUUGAACUUGCAUAUUGUUUAGAACUCUGAACCCCACUGCUUACAACUUUGAAACCCUAUACUCUUAAUUCAACCCUAAAAAAAUGAGAGAGACAUAGAGAGAGUGGAAAGCGAUGCUGGAGAUGGAGUAUCAACCAGUUCUUUUAAAAGACAUGAUACUGAAUCUACAAAGAUCGUGAUGCCAAUCAGUUUUUUGAAACAAUGUGGAGCAGCUAGCAUACUUCUUUUGCACAGCUAUCUUAACUGGUUCGAGUUAAAGUAUAUAUGUAUAUCUAUAGCGCCCAUGAGAAAAUUCCUUACAGGCUACAACGCUGAAAAAUCAAUGUGUAAAAUACAGUAGGGCUAAAGAAUAAGAACAUUUCCUCUUCAGCGUAAAUAGUGUCAUUUUAUCAGCAUUUCCUUCACCUUGAUGUUAUAUGCAUGCACCCAAAAAAGUGCAAAACCAAAGAGAUAGUAGUCUCAUACCUUGAGGUUGACCAUACAGAUAGUGUUAAAUGUAAAGUUACUCACCCUGUAUACGGCGCCAUGCAUAGCUAUGCUGUGCAGGGGGCUUCCAAGAACAACUUUUGCAUGUCCUCCUCCCAUUUCUCCUUCUACAUGGAUAUCAUGUAUGGCUCGGCUUGCAUGCCUAAACAGCAAGUGCCAAAAGUGUGAGCAAAGUGAGAGGUCCCCAACUUACCUGAAAAUGAGACAUGCCUAUUUCUGAGUAAGUAGAACCACCAAGCCUGACAGCAAUAAAUAGAGAAAGUAAUAAAUAUAGAACUUUAGAAAAGAAAAAGGCUACAAUAAUAUAUCAAACAAAUCAGCUCAUUUCUCUUGAAGUUUUGUAAGAUAUUCUAAUUAUUUCCCAAAGCAAAAUACAAAAUUAAACGCCUAAAUAAAUAACUCUCCACAUAUAGUUGGCCACUGCGAUGUUGCUGCUGCAAUGAACCAAUCUGAAGUUACAUAUUCCUAAUCAUCAUUACCUAACGGCUGAACUUUUGUAAUUAAUUUGUAGACCAAAGAUGCCAACAAGUCUUAGUUUGAAGAGAGUACGUGCUGAGUUUGUUCGGAGCUCUGAGAUGCCCAGGUAAAUUUCAAAUCUCAUAUUCUAAAAAUGUUAUAAUAGCUAUGAACAUUUGUUAGUAUAUGCCCAGUUAAAUUCACAUGUGUUCUCUGUCAUUUUUCUUACAGAUUUAAGAGAUUCCAAGACAUUCAACUUGUUGACAUUGGUUACUCUUGGAGUAUUACCGUUAGAAUUGAAGCAAAGUUCCCUUUUAAUCAAGACUUUCAGCGCUUCAUCCUCAUGGAUACUAUGGCGAGAUUCAAAAAUAAUAGAAGUAAAAUAGUUUCAUUCACAAACUAACACAGAUGGUAAUAAUGUUAUAUAUAAUUGUAGGGUUGCAAAUUAGUGGCGGUCGUGAGUGGCCCCGAUACCGAGAGGUUCAACAGGUUACUACAACAAGGACGUGACUACACAAUUCGUGAUGUCAGAUUCCAAGUUAAGCCGCACACUGAGUUUCGCAAUAUUCAAAGCAAUUACGAUUGUAGGUUGGACCGUUUGACUACAGUGGAGCGUUGGAACAUGCCUAUACAGUUUCCCAUGUGCUCGAAUCAGUUAACGUCCAUCCUUGAAGUCAUGCAUUGCCCAAGCAAGACCUAUAUAGGCAUUUUUAAAGUCUCCACUCUCUUACUUUACCUUUGUACUAAUACAUGUACUAUUUAUAUAGACAUUGCGGGAAUUCUUGUGCACUGGGGGAAAGUUGAGAGACCGCGUUCAGGGCUGUGUAGAGAGGUUGUCCUCAUGGAUUCAAGGUAAGAUUUAUAGCUUGUAACUAUUUUUUUCUAAUAUACAAUCAGUUUUUUGAAUGCCUCCUAUAUUCUAACACAUAAAUAUAUGUAAUUAUAGAGGUGAUUUGAUAGUUGUGAUCAUGUCAUGCAAAGUCUUGGCUGCACAUAAAAUAAAGCUGCAAAAUGCCACUAGUACAACACCGCUUUCUAGUGGCGGUUCUAGAGGGGUUUGUACAAGCGGCAGACAGUACCGCCAGUAGCUUUCGCCAGUACAAAACAAAAAUUAUACAAGCGGUUUAUCAAGAACCGACUGUGUUAACAAUUUACACUAUCGGCUUCAUUUGUACCACCGUCGCUUGUGUAAACAAUUUACACUAUCGCAUUUAUUAUAUGAUCCGCUUCUGAAAUGUCUUUACACAGUCGGUUUGAUAACAAAAUGCGCUGGUUGAAGGUCAUUUACACUGACGGUUUGUAUAGCAAGCCGUCUGUACUAUAUAGCCAGAUAUAGUGUUCUUUUUUGUUUAUGAUCUACCUAAUUGUUUGGCGAAAUAAUUCUCUGUGCACAUGCUUUUCCUGGAUCUUGAUAACUAUGCAGAAAUACAUACAUAUUGAAAAUUUAUUCUUUUUGUUUGAAAAGCCCAUGCACAACUGAAUAUAUGUCUAUUUUGGUAAUGAACUAGAAGAUCAAGAUCUUAAAACACUUUUUAUUAGUUUUAGUUAUGUGUUUUGGUAUUGAUUAUUUGUGAGGCUAUGAGAAUUUAUAUAUGUUUUACCCAUAACAACGCAUAGGCACUCAAGUAUACACUAAAACAGAAGACUACCAAAAGAAUAAGAGAAUAACUUGUGUAAGAAUCACUAACCUUAGGUGGCAUUUCAGGCCGUUGCUGCUAUUCUGGGCCGCCGGCUGAUGCAACCUAGCUUUGAUUCUGGCCCAUCGGUCUGCCAGCGAAAAUCAAUUAAUCAAGCCAAUUGUAUUUUUGUUAUAAAAACUAAAAGGGAAAGACUGUAGUGGGAACGAAAUGUGCAUACUUUUAUAUCUGAUGAAAAAUUUGUUACUGUUUUCUGGGAACCUCCUUUCUUGAGUUGAAAGUUCAUCCACAUUUGCCAACAGUGGUAACUGAUAUUAUUGUGACAAAAUGUUAGCACAACCAGUUUCUUUACAUGAAACAAACACAACACUGAAGACAAACAUUAUCAAGGAAACAGUACGAAAAGACAAGAGCUUGCCUUGAUUAUUUGAGAAAUUAAACCCAUGACCAGAUGAGGCUGCAAGCAAAUAGAAAUAAAUUUCAGUAAGAUUACUAAGAGACUUGUAUGAAUUCUUUAAAAUAUAAAAAAGAUCAGCAAGCAAUACAGUGGCUGCUAGAAACAGCACCCAAAUCUGAUCAUGGAGGAUGUAAAAUGAAGUAAAUCAAACAAGACAGAUCAUAACUUCAAUGAAAAUUAUGAUACCUGAAAGGCUUGGAUGUUACUAAAACCUGCGGUAGAAUCUAAAGGUCAUUUAAGUUACCCUAAACAUUCACUAUCAAACCGAUAAUCAAGUGGGAUCAAUUGAGAUUGAUUGAUUCUUUCAUGGUACCAUGGACGCAAAUUUCAAGUAUCUUGAAUUUGCACAACAACCAUCAAGCUAACCAUAUGUUACCACUCCAACUUUACAUGAUUGUCCCGUGGUGGUCAAGUGGCAACCACCAGCGUGCUGAAGUACGGACAUGAAACUAAAAAACCUAUAUAGACAAUUUACGUAUAAUUUCGGGCCGUGGCUGCUAUUCUGGGCCGUCGGCUGAUGCAACCUAGCUUUGAUUGUGGCCCAUCGGUCUACCAGCGAAAAUCAAUCCUGUUUAGAGGUUACGAUCAGUUAGCAUAAAAGGGAACUCUGGUAACAUUUGCCUAAUCAAUCUGCUAAAUCCUCGGAUCAAGUCCUCAUCCACGCGAGGUCAUUGCGCCUUCCAAGCAGAAGUACUGAAGGACUACUACGUCUACGUCUUCGAGGUGCCGCCGCCAUCAAAUCAUCAACACACGUCCGGCCGUCAUAAAAACAGUAUGUUUCCUAUCCCAAUUGGCGUUACGUAGGCGGGGGAAAGGGGGGAAUAGCGUCACGCAGAUGGGUGGACGGGGAAUGGGAGCCGCGUGAACGUACCUUGCCAAUCUUCUCGAAGUAGUCGGUGAGACACAGGUUCCAUUCGUUGAUGGUGUUGUCGGUGAUGGCGGAGAGCCAGGCGGGCCAUCCGGCGUCGAGAUGCUCCCCGCGCGCUGUGUUGGCGAAUCCGGGGCCGGGGACGCUGCAUAACGAGCGGGAGCGACUCUACCGCCAGGCCGGCUGCUCUGCUGGUGCUGUCGGCUGCUCUGCCUUCCCGGUGGCCUCCUCCGCUGCUGCGGGGGCCGGCGGCUCGGGUACUGGACGCGGAGGGCUGGCCAUGGACGCAGCCAUGGGGAGAUCCUCACCGGUGAAGUCUCAUGGGGGAAGGGCGGCUGCGACUGCUGGUCGGUGCUGGGCGCGGAUGGGCGGCCGUGGACGUAGCCUAUUGGAAGAUCUUCACCGGCGCUGUCUCAUGGGUGAACUCGAGAGGGGGAGGAUCGCUCCGAGAACACGAGGAACUGGACAAGGGAUUGGAGUGGAGCGGAUGCGGCGACUGCGGCUGAUGGUCGGGUCGGGUCUGGAAGCAGAGGCACGGGCGGAGCUGCCAAGCUGGGCUUUUUGCCAAUCUGCCACUGUGCUUCUGCGGAGCUGGGAUCUCACACUUGUAUUUUAUUAUAUGUUAUAAUUAAUGUAUGAUCUACUCCCUCUUUAAAUCAUAAAUCAUAGGAAAUUUUAUUGUUUCUUCAAGCUGCCUGACAUACAAUUUAUGAAUUUUUAGAUGUUGUUAGUGACGAAACCAUGUAAUAAACAAGAGAAAAAGGUGUGCCCAUCCAGGUCGGUGUUGCAAUAUAAUAAACCAAAGAAAACGGACACGGUCAAAAGUCAACCUCAAGGUUCUUACUUUCAUUGACCCUUCCUAUUUUUCUUUCGCUAAUGAGACCUUCUAAUUCUUUAUUUUCCUGUGUUUUAUGCAGAUUAUGUUUGCAACGCCGAAGAUUAUAGUACUAUUGAAAAUAUUCUGUUGCAACCAAAAAAAAGUAUUGGUGGACAUCCAGGGAAUGACCAUAGAACGCCAUAGAACGAGAUAUUUUGGAAUGCCUCUUACAUGAUAAUAGAUUUUUGGAAGGAGAUGUAAGUAUAUGCAUGCAUGAUUUCAUGUUUCAAAAUGCUUUGCUUAUUCUGAUUCUGAUUUACUGCUUGCAAUACAUAUAUAUAUAUAUAUAUAUAUAUAUAUAUAUAUAUAUAUAUGCAUAGGUCUUAAGUGCCUACAUUGAGCUUAUGAGGUCCGAAAAACAUCUCCAAAACAGAGCUGGUGGAACGGUAUUCCUAGAGAAUACGUUCAAUACAAGUAUUCUACAGCGUGAUGGCAAGAUAAAUGAGGAAUACCUCGAUCCUAAGGUAGAUCACAUAGCAAAAAGGGUGUGCAACUAUUGGGAAUAUGACAUGGUAAAAUUGUGCAUCUCAAGCCCAUAAAUGUCGUUAUCAUUUAGGUGUAUUCCAUUAUAAUAUUUUAACUUUUGAUUUAGGUAUUUCUUCCGAUCAACAUCAAAGACUUUCACUGGUACCUUGCAGUGGUGGAUGGUAUAAAUGAAGAGAUACAUAUGCUCGAUUCAUUAGGUAAAACACAGGAGAAUCGUUAGGAACUUGUCUAUACGGUUAGUAAAAUAUUAACUUUAUUUAAAAGUUCUGCCUGAUUGUUAUUUUUUUAUUACUGACUAUGUGUUAUAUUAGAUAAUUGGCCUACAGAGACACAUAGAUAUUGUAGCAAAACAUAAAGAUAUACAAACAAAAUGGAAGAACCUUCAAGUUCAAGAUUGGAAAUUCAAUGAGGAAUUCACAAGUGCCAUGCAAACAGAUGGGUAUAAUACUCCAUCAUAUGUAUCAUACAAAUACAAUUAUUUAAAAUUCAACUAAUAUACUAUAGAUAUAACUGUUAGUGUUACGUUUUCAUGUUUCAAAAUUGGUAGGUCAUCAUGUGGCUUAUUCAUGCUUAACUACAUGGAAUAUUGGAGAGGAAAAGGAAAAGGUCUAUCAGACAGUGUAACUCAGGUAUAUAGGAAUAAUAAUGUUUUAUUUGUUGAUUUAUUAUAUUUUUUUUAGUAACAUGUCAUCAAAAAAUAAUAUGCAUACAAGAUGAUACAUAGGGUGAUAUGAUUCAAACUACUUGCCAUUUUGUUGAACUGCCAACAAAAUGCCCGGGAAUGGUGGUUGACUUCCGAAACUGAUGAUAAGGAAGAAGAGAGUAUAGAUGAAAUUGAAAUUUUAGAUAGACCACUAAAAAAAAGCAGGGGUGAGAAGUCAUAUGCCUAUGAAGAAGAUUUAAUAUUGUCCAGGGUUUCAAAUUAUAUCAACUCCAUUAGUGAUGCAACUACUUUAGAGUAAGUCACCUCUAUUAUAUAUAUAUAUAUAUAUAUAUAUAUAUAUAUAUAUAUAUAUAUAUAUAUAUAUAUAUAUAUAUAUAAUAGUUGGUAUUUUCCUUUAAUUAUAUGCAUAAUUUUUUUGUAGGUCCUUUGCAAAGAAGUUAGCUGACAUGUUGCAAAAUGCUAACGCACAUGCCCUUACAUUUCGUGACUUGCCAAUGGGCGAACAAGAAUUAAGAGACCGUGUUUGCAAUUAUAUCAUGACAAUUAACGAAGAUAUGGCUUUAGAGUAAGUUUAUUUUCGUGAUAAAUGACAAAUCAUAUACCACGUAUUGUUACAUGUAUACAAAUAUUCAUAUUUUACAGGCAAAAAUGGGUUGUAAGUGCAAAGCCCUAUCCGAUUGUGUUGAGUCUCAAGAAAACCCAAAGGAUGUUAAACAAGAACGAGGGAAUUCAUGAUGAUUGUUUUAACCUGGUAGCACGGAAGUUUGCUUUUGAAGAACUUGAAAAGUUGAAGGGAACAAACAAGAUUGUGUCAAAGCAUUACAUGGAUUUAAAGUUUUCGGUAGGUUUUACUUUAUAUAAUGGCAUGAUAUAUAAUCACUAUUUCUUUUGUUGUAUAUUUCUAGACUUUCAUUCAUUAUAUUACUAUAUAGCUUGCAUGUCAACUAAGUAAUGGUGACGAGUAUCGAACAAAAGUUGAUUAUAACCAACUGGCAAAAUUUGCUCUUGAAUGUCCUUGGAGAAAAUAUAAUGUUAAAGAGUGCACAUGGGUAACGUUGUUUCUCUUAUUAUGUUCCUUGCAUCUUUUGUGUAAAUAAAUACCAUGUUAUUCUUAAAUAUCAUAUUACUGAGAUGCUCCUUUUCAAUUACAGAUUCUAAUACCACUUCAAAUGGUUACAGCAUGAGGUAUUUAUAAUCUUUUUUGUUCAAGACAUGUCUAGAAGAGCUCUCUACAUAGUAGACCAAACUCCUAAACCUGAUCUUUACAAGAUUCAACCACUAAAAAAUAUACAAACAAAAUUCAAAGGGUUUCCACUGCCCUAAAUGAAGUCAUGAAAGUUUCAUGCCCUUGGUGGCGAGAUGAUUUAAUCCUCUUUGACCAUAGAGUUGCAGAAGUCAACCAAUUUGAGUUAAAUGGGUAAAUACUUUUACAAUAGAAACUAUUUGUUUUUAUAUUCUACUAUAUAUAUAAUAGUAAUAAUUUAAUGCUUCCUCAGGGACUUGUCUGGUUAUAAUGUUCUACUUGCUAUGCAUGCGUGGAAUGGUAAAAGGAUAGAAACAUCCAUUUGCAAUAAUGUGAGUAUUGACCUUUGUAGAUUAUUAUUGUUUUUUCACCUCAUAUAUUUGUUUAACUAAACCUAUAUAUGUGUAUAAAAAUCUUACAGGAUAAUUAUGAAGUGAGGAAGCAUAUAUUGCUACACCUACUCACAUAUACCGGGAACAAAAAUAUUGCCAACAUACCUAAAGGUGUUCGAGAUCACCUUGAACGCUAUAUUUGUCUCACAAGCAAAAAAAGAUGAAUUGUUUCUUAUUUUUCUACUUGUUUCUUUAUUUUAAAUAUAAGUAGAUUGAGAUGUGUGUUUUAAUAUUAAUUAUUAUUAUAUUAAUUGUGAUGAUAUGGAAAUUAACGUAUAAUUUGUUGUGUGAUGUGUUACCCGUAGCGACUUUACGUAUAAUUUGUUGUGUGAUGUGCUACCCGUAGCAACGCACGGGCACUCAACUAGUGAGUAUUAAGCAUCACAAUAAUAACCAUAUCCGGAUUAUCACAUAGCUAUCAUCAUUCUCAUCAUAACCAUUAAGUUUAUUUAGUGAAUUCUACGUUGCCGCUGCUCGAGUCAAGUUCUCACUAUCUGGGAGAGACGACAAUUCGAAUCGAUUCAUAUCCAGCUGGAGGGGUAUUCCUAGCACUCACCCAAGCAUACCUCGCGAGGGCAGCUUGGAUCACCUUUAGCACAACUCCGGACCAAGUCGCGGGUCCGUCCAGCGCCGCACCCCCAAGGACCACCAAUCUGCCAGGGCAGGACUCCAACCUGACACCUUGGGCUUACGUCAUUUACUUCCCGCACAUCCUUGCUACCAACCGGGGUGCGCACUCAUACAGAACCGGGUAUCCGGCCUGAGUUGCACUCGUAGGCUUCGCGGUUGGAACGACUUUUCCGGCCAACUAAGUGUUAGGCAUGCGUUCAACAUGACACGAGGACGUACAGCAAAUCGGUCCUUAACCGACACAGACGGGGAUAGAUUCACACCCAAGACCUCCAUGCCUUGUUGCUGCACUAUCGUCAUCCCGUCCGGUCUCAAUUCAUUAUUAGUCUUUGGUUAUUUCCACGAUAGCAAAUAUAACCAACCGUGAUCAAGUAUCCACCUAUCUCUCGCAGGUGACAGGAAAUCACCCGGCUUGUACCGAGCUAAGCAUGGCUAAGCAUCAUUUCGAUCCUGGACCUACUUAGGUAAGUUAUGAGGUGGACAAGGUAGUCAUUAUGCAGCAAGGGUGUCAUAUCAACGCCUAACACUUAAUGCAACAAUACAUAACCAUAGUUAUUUGACAGCUGGACAUGAUAACAAAAAAAUAGUAGGAGGCUUAUAAUGCUCCAGGGCUUGCCUUCGAUGUAGGUAGAGGGACGAUGGUCGGGACACUCCGGUAGAUCCUCCUCCUCAGCUCCUUAAGGUGGCUCCCCCUGCUGCUCCUUCGGCUCGGGUGGUGUGAACUCCAAGACCGUCACGCCCUUGGGUACACCUAAGUAUGCAUGACAAGGUGAUGAAUAAAGGGAAUGCACACAUGAUGCAUGAUGUUAUGAUGAUAAGCCAAAAGAACAUGAAACAAGAUGCAACAUGAUCAAAAGUUCCUAAGAGUAAUUGAAUCCUGACUAAGUAAGUAAGUGCAUACUUCUUCUCUGGUAGAGAGGCUAACUAGACAAGCUACUCAACCGUAGCUACUCACACUAAGUAACUGGUGUCAUGGACAGAUUAGCUUGUCAUAAGAUUCAGCUAUAACCUAGGCAUCAUUUGGCCAAACUAAGCAAGUGGGCACUUUCUGGAAAGCUUAACAAAUUUUCUACAAUUAGCUUUCAGACAUCCAAGAAGGAUUCCCAGCCGAAAUAGGUUGAAACAGACAAAGUUGGCUGGCUGCUUUGGAAAAUCCAGAGAGCAAGCACUUUGCAGCAACUUCAUGCAAUAGUCAUAACUAGUCAUAACUUUUAAACUACUCAGCCAAAUGUCAUGGAAUUUGGACACAAGGUAGAUAAGUAAGUUAGCUACAAGUUUGUUGUAGAUAAGUUUUCCAGAAAACCUCACCUUCAAGCAGUUCUUAAACAAUUGCUAUCAGCUAUACAGAAUAUGCUCUAGGAAAGACAUAAGUAGCAAAAUAAUAUUUUGACACAUACUAAGAAUGUAACAUUGGUUGAAACCAAAUGCACCAGUAGAUAGAACAUGUAUAAGAAACACCAGAAAACAUCAUGGCAAGGUUUAAACUCAUUUCUAUUAUCCCCUUUUCUAUUUAUUUGAUUAUUAGGAUGAUUUAAUGAGCAUGUAACACAAGUGCUCCAAAAAUUCUAAUACAAUUACAGCAAGCCAACUAGACCACCACCAGUUCACUGUAAAAUUUUCAGGGCUCUUGCACAUGCAGAUUGUGAGAUACAAAAAUGACAAGCUAACAAUGGCAUUAAAGGCAUAAUUGUGAAACCCUAUCAAAAAGUGCCAAACAACAGAUUUCAUAUUUUUCUUAGUUUUUCUUAGACAUGAUUACAUCACUCAGCAAGUUUCAACAUAAAAGGAGUUAUAACUUAUUUACUAAAAAUAAUGAAACUUCUAUUUAAACAAGAAUUAUUUAAAACUCCACCAACAGUUAUCCAAAAAUCAUGAUAAAUUUACAAGAGCCUAUUCACACCUUAAGUAACACUCUCCUAAAUUUUCAUGGCCAUAAGACUCAUAGAUCUCAAGAUAUAAUUACCUCCUAUUAAACAAGAUUAAAUCAUAUCUAUCUAUUUAUGCAAAAACAUGGCAUGUUUUAUAUUUUUAAUAAAAACUAGACUAACACAAGAACCUAACAAAAUUGGAAUCACUCCAUUUGGAUCUGUAUAGCUCGAGUUAUGAAUUUUACAAAAACAACACAGGAUCUGCAAAAUAGUAGACACCACACACCAGGGAGAGAGAGACAGAGGCUGACAGGUGGGGUCUGCUGACAGACGGGACCCACGCGAUAGAGAGACAGAGACAGGGGAGAGCUCGUCACCGGUGAAACUCGACGACGGCGAGGUCUCGGUCGAAUCCAAGGGCACCAUCGUGACCCUCUCACCAAGGCGGACCUGCCGAGGUGCAAAACCCUAACUCUACCAAGCUCUAGAGGCUCGUCGGUGUGAAUGGCGGCUCGGCGGCGCUGCGGGCGGUACGCUGGCGUGCUCUGCCGAUGCCGUCCCAGUUGAGCUUCACGCCGAGCAUCAGUGAGUCAAGGGGAAGCUCUAGGAACAAAAAUGAGAAGGAAUGGUAGAGCAGGGAGGUUUGGCCAUGUCGCCGGUGAUCUCUGCGAACUCCAGUGAGGUGGAGCUCGCGACGGAGUGGACAAUGUGGCCUCACGAGUGCUCGGCUAAGGGAAAGAGAUGUACGUCGAGGUAGAGGACGUCGAGGCGGCGCUCUAGGCGGGCUGGCUUGGCCGGAGACACGGUGGAGCGGUCGGGAAAGCUCGCCGAAGCACGGCGGAGCUUGCCGAGAACGAAGGUGGAGGGAAUGGAGCGCUCUGAGCGAGUGGAGGUCGCGUCUGAGGCGUCCUUGCGGUGUGUGGCGACUUAUGGGCGACGCUGGAGCUGACAGGAGGGCCAUCGACGGCGUACGGCCGACAGGUGGCCGGACAUGUGGCGGCGGGUGAGCUCUGUCCCAACUGAAUCGGGCGAUUCAGUCGCCGUGGACAGUAACUGAAACUCGAUUUUCAUCAACGUUUUACUCUCAAUUCACUCGAUGGUUUUGGCUCGGAUUUGUUCCUUUAGAUAGAUCUACAUGAGUUCUCAAGAUUGCUUAAAGGAUCAAGGUCUAACUCGGCCUGGAUUUCAAGCUAUAGAGCUCCCAAGUACCCUAUAUCGAAACUGCCGAUUCCAGACUUUGCUAAAUUCGGCUAUGUGUGGAAACAGCCCUAAUUUCUGGCUUGUGAGCAAAUUUUGAAUGUGUUCCAUGCAUUUUCAUAAAAAAUCAUCAACACAACUUUUGUAGCUUAUGAAAUUUACUACAACUUUACUUUAGAUGUCAUUUACAUGCAAGGUCUCUAACACUGGUUUCAUAAAAGGUCUUUGAAAAGAGGUUUAGGGGGGUCAACUAGGCCAACCUAGGGCUAACCAUGACCUAGGGGCAUUUUUGGGCAAAACCUCCAACAUAAACUUUGUUCAAAAUGUUAUUCUAAACAUGAUUAACGUAUUUUGGAAGACAAUGUGCACUUAUAUGCAUUGGUCACACAUUACUAUCACCUAUAGCAAGUCACACAAGCAAUUCAAUCACAUAGUGUAUACACCAAAUGACAUGUGAUCAUGGUGUGAUGCUCAUGAGUGAUCAUGAUGAUGAUUAUGUUGAUGCAAUGCUCAUGGUUAACAUGCAAGCUAACACUAGGAGUGUUACAUCAUCGGCAGUAAUCUGGUGCUGAGGAUCCACCGAUGUGCUUUUUUCAGCUGCCUCUGAAGUCAAUACUUUGGUCUUUCCCUUAGCAUCCAACAUAUUUGUAGGGAAACGAUGUUGGUCGAUCUUCAUCGGCUUUUGAGCUUUGGAGUUAUCGAACCUAAUUCUCCCAAACUCUAUAGCCGACUGCAGCUGCUGCCUGAAAACUUUGCAUUCAUUUGUACUAUGAGAUGUUGCAUUAUGCCACUUGCAAUACUUAAUCUUCUUUAAUUCUUCUGCCGAUGGAAUCACAUGGUUAGGUGACAACUGAAUUUGCCCCUCCUGAAGCAAAAAGUCAAAUAUCCUAUCGGCUUUGGUGAUGUAAAAUGCAAACUUUUCUGGAUCUUUAUGCCCAAAAGGGCAAGACAUCGGCUUUUUAUUUUUUACCCAUUCUGCCAAGCUGAUGACUGGCUCUUCAUCAGAAUCUGAGCUCGUUGCCUCAUCGACAAAUGACACCUUUUUGUUCCAUGCCCUCUUGGGUUCAAAAGCUUUGAUAUCUUGGUCAGAAAUCCACUGCACUAAAUGGCUCAGACUUUCAAACUCUUGAGAAGCAUACUUGUCUUUAAUGUGUGGCAACAACCCUUGGAAAGCCAAAUUGGGGAGCUGCCGAUCAUCCAAAACCAGACUAUAACAUUUAUUCUUAACAUCUCGCAACCUUUGCACAAAGCUCUCAACCGAUUCGUCAUUGCUCUGCCUUAGCCUGACUAAAUCGGUAAUCUUCUUCUCAUGCACUCCAAAAAAGAAGUAUUUAUGGAACUAUUUUUCUAGAUUGGCCCAGGUGAUCACUGAGUUUGGAGGUAAUGAAAUAAACCAAGUAAAGGCCGAUCCAGACAAAGAUGAUGAGAAUAAGCGAACCCUUAACUCAUCUCUGUUAGCAGUUUCCCCAUACUGGAUGAUGAACCUAUUAACAUGCUCCAUGGUUGACGUAUCAUCCUGCCCCGAAAACUUGAUGAAAUCCGGCACCUUGUACCGAUUUGGAAGCGGAAUUAAGUCAUAUGCUGGAGGAUAUGGUGUCCGAUAAGAGUAAGUGUUGACUUUGGGUUUUAUCCCAAAUUGGUCUCUCAUCACCUCAGCUAUCUUAUCGGCCCAGUAAGCAUCAGCAUAUUGCCGAUGAGCUUGUUGUGGAUUCGGCAUCUGCUGAUAAGCUUCCACAUGUCUCUGCAGUGCACGAUCCCUACAGAACAUAGGAUUAGCCACCGCCUGUUGACCACCAACUUGGUGACCAAGAUUCAUCGGCUGGUUGAUCAACCCUUGAUUUUGAAAUCCAGGUUGCAUUGGUCCUUAUUGAAAUCCCAUAGCCUGAUGAUUUUGCUGAGGCAUCUAUGGAAAGACAAACUGCCCUGUCCAUCCAUUGUUAACAUUCAUCGGCGUAGGUCCUGCCGAUGGCUGAUAAUUGGGCACCAUCAUCGAAUUGACAUACCCUAGCUGUGUCAUAAACCUUUGCUGUGUCAGCAUUGGAUCUGCCGAUGCAUUAGGCAUCUAGAACGUUGGCAUUUGAGAAUUCCUAGCAAAAGGUCUUGUAGUAGUAGUUGUAGAAUACUUGGGAUUCUGAGUCAUCGGUGAGCCUGGGGGUGCCGAUGCCAUAGGAGCAUUGCCUGUCAUGUCAGCCACUUGAGAUGUCCCAGAACUUUUUGCCAUAAAUUCUGGGGGCAUACCAUAUCCCCACCAAUUGGGAGGAACAGAUACUGACAUUGCUGAUGCUAAUAAAUCUGUAGCAAGUUUGACUUGUCCCUCUGAUGUUGAUGGAUUAGUCGUCAUCGGUGUAGAUUGCGCAUUAGUCAUCCCUAAUGUGCUUGGAGGAGAAGUAACUUCCGUACCUGCAACGGCUGUAGUAGCCGAUGGAGCCGUAACCGAUGAUGAUCCUGGCUGAUGAUAGUCAGGGCCCACAUAAGAUGGUGGUAUCUGUCCUUCUUUGAAAGUUCUAGCCACAACAUUGAAAACUGUAUUGGACAGCACAUUAGAUUGAUUGAUUAGAGCACAAAUGAUAGCACUGUCAACCAUCUCUUGUUGUUUACUAGGAUUGGCUUCAAAAGUGAUUUGCCGAGGCAUCAACAAUGCUUCCUUUUGGAUCACCUCGCCACUCCUGUUGAUAUUGAAGGAUUUCAAGCAUAGCUGCUUGUAGUCCUCCAUAGCUUUUGCCAUAUCUUGCUUCUAUUCAUCUCUGAGAUUGGCUUCCGUCACGGGGAUGACGUUCUCCAAGUCGAAAUUAGUGUUCGACAUAAUGAUCUUGAUGUUGAAUCAUUGUCCCACUGGGCGUGCCAAAAGAUGUGUUCGUGCAAAAGUAGAUCUACAAACACAAAGGGCUAAUACCCGAUUCAACAUUAAGACGUGCCAGCCGAUUUGACCUUACAAUCGACAAAGGUGGUAACUCGAAUACUUUGGUCCCGACAACAGCGAUGCGCCCGGAUGUCACGGCCAAGAGGUAUUCACACGGAACUCGAGAAUUCACCGAGGUUAACUCGUUGUAAAAGGAAAAUAUGCAGGUUGAUGAAGUCGUCAAAAGUAGAUGCUGAAAUAGAUGUAAAAACUUGUGUUUGGUUGAUUGUGUCUAACAUUACAUCGCUACGGGGUCUCAUAUUUAUACCCUGCCCAAAAGGGUUACAAUCAGACACGACUAGGACUCGAAUUCCAAAUUGAACGGAAUCCGUACACAAAACAAACUCUAAUAACUGUGGAAAGCAUUAAGUUAUCUUCCACAACCGUUCGGUACACCACCUUGAAUCGAUCGACAAUUCCAGCGCCUUUCUUUGUGACCAUCGGCGAACCACCUUUCAUAGCCAUCGGCAACCAUCAGCACCAUUCAUCGGCAUGAAUCCCUCACCACUCCUAGACUUGGCCAUAUUCUGUCGUUUUCUCAUCGGCACCAACCCUCAUUGGCAACUCUCCUGUCAACUAGUCACCACUUUUCUGCCUGCCGAUCUACGCCUUAUUAACUCCAGAUACGCAUCCAAAGAUACGUGUCCAAAAACGGUGUCGACACUGCCAAGCUAGACCUGCUCAUGAAGAAGCUCGAUGAUAAAGCUAGAGAUAAGAAGGAAGUUAUGCACGUCUAUGACUCUCACAUGAUUUGUGAGGACUGUGGAGAUACUGGACACUCAGGCAAUCACUGCCCUGAGAUGCUUGAGGACGUGAACUACAUCAACAACAAUAACAACAACAACUACUACCACCGUCGUCAACAAAAUCAAGAUUGGAAUCAACAGAGGCCUAACUACUCAGGUAAUUAUCAAAGUAACAAUUCUUACAAUAAUAAUAAUAAUUUUCCACCUCUGAGAGAGUUAGUGUCUAAUCAAGGAAAGCUAAUGGAUAACCUAUCUAAGAAAUUGGCAUCUAAUGAUAAAAUUCUAGAAAAAAUAAAUAAUAGAAUGAAUAAUUUCUCUACUGCCAUCAAGAAUCAAAUUAGCUUUAAUAAAAUGAUUGAAUCUCAGUUAAAUCAAAUAGCUGCUGCUGUUCCAGCUACUAACCCCGGUAUACCAUCACAACCUUAAGGAUUAGAAUCUGCAAAUCUUGUAGACAUGUUUGAUACAGGUAACUACUGGAGUAACCCCGUCGCGGAAGUUACUACUGACCUUCUACCGGUCAAGAGAGGCGAUCUAGGACGCCCUGCCAUCCCGAUCUCCAUCGACAUGGUGGACUUCCCAGAAGCACUCUGCGACUUUGGCUCUAGUGUCAACAUUAUGCCAGGGUACUCUAUGAAAAAUUCUUUAUAUAUCCUUUAUUAGAAACAACCAUGUGUUUGCAGCUUGCCGAUCGGACAUUAAGUUUCCCAAAGGGAAUAUUGAAGAACCUUUGCGUCCGAGUUGGUACCUUGUACGCCCUAGCAGACUUCGCGGUGACAGAGACCGGUAAUGAUGAGAGGGCACCCGUCAUCUUAGGGAGGCCAUUCCUGAACACCUCGAGAGCUGUCAUCUACGCUAGUGCUGCCAUGAUCAGUUUUUACAUCAAGGGGAGGAAGGAGACGUUUUCCUUCAAGGACAAGACUACACAAAUCCCAGAGCAAUCCCGACAUGAACCAAGGAAGAGGACCAACAGGAGGAACAGGAACAAGCAAGUGUGGACCGAGUCAGCUAAGAUGGUCACUGCAGUUCAAGGAGGUCAAGAUCAUCGACUCAAGUCACCAUUCCUGACCAAGAAGGACGACCUAGGUAUGCCAAGCAUCCAGUGCUCCAUUAAUUGGUACAACUUCUACAAGAUGCUUUGCGACACCGGAUUGGGCGUCAACAUAAUAGCCGCAGUCACCUAUGAGCUCCUGUUUGGAACCAUAACCCUAAAACUGACAUACAUUCAGCUCCAGAUGACAGAUCAGACAUUUCGAAAGGUUGAAGGUAUAGUAACUGAUGUCCCUAUUAAAAUAGAUAAUCAUUUUGUCCAUACAGACUUUCAGGUUAUUGACAUUGGAGAAGGCGAGUAUGAUCCACCCAUCGUCCUUGGGAGACCUUUCCUCAGUACUGUUAAACCAAUCAUCUACAUUGGAACUAGAGCAUCUCAUUCUCCCCAAAAAGUUUCAAAAGAGCAAGAACGGUAUGUAUCCCCUCAAGUAGAAUUAGACUUUCACCAUUGUUGUCGCCAUCAUCACCAUACACCAUUCAUUUUGCCACACAUGCACAUCUUGAUUUGACUUAUUGACUUGUUUCUCUGGAUCCAUGGUUUGACUAUGCAAUAAAUGUCUUGUAAGUAUGUAUACUUUAUCUCCCACCUAUGAGCUCCAGAUAUCAAAAGCCUUAUUAAAGUAGGGUGAGAGAGAGAGAGCAAGGUCACUGUGCUUUAUACUACAAAUACCACAUACUUUGAGAGAGAAGGGAUAUACCAUCACUGCCUUGGUAAGGAUCCAGAAAUACCACAAAAGAGAGAUCUGAGAGAGUCAUACAAGGAAUCUCUGAGUUUUAUUUGAAAAUCUGCAAAAACUCCAGAGCUAUGGCUAAUCAAGAAUAAGAGACAUGGCGCUUGACUAGACCGUUCUAUCUUUUAACUGCUCAAGACAGAAAUGACGGUUACAAGUCCCAUGGUAAAAGGUAAAAUGAGUAAGUUUUAAAUCUUGACGGUUUACUCUAACUCAGAGAUGAGACCUUAUUUGAAAGCAUGUGUACCAUCAAAACUCAAAGGUAUUACGCAACUUCUGAUCCAUCACUGAGAUUAUCCUUGCUCAGGGACGAGCAAGAGGUAAGCUUGGGGGAGUUUGUUGACAUUCCUUAAAUAUCAAAUAUAAUCAACAAAUAAACAAAGAAAAGGAUCCAAAUGCAACCGGCACCUAGACUUAGGGUUUUAUCGGACAGAAUUCCAUGAGUUUUGGUGUUUGUCUAUUUCUGCAGGGGGUUAUCAGGAAUUAUGGAAGAAAGGCCCACACGUCGGGUUUACAUAGAGAUAUUAAUGUGCACCACAAUUAUCUAACAUCUAGAAGAGUCCAGAAGCCACGGGAACGAGCGGGAGGCCGAGCGAGCCCGGGGGCAGGGCGCCCGCCCUCCCCCCUUGGGCGCUCGCCCUGGCCUGAGAGCCAAUCAGGCUCCGCCUCGCGGAUCAUGCUCCACCGACCUAAGGGAUUAAGGAAAACCGUGCGAUUAAGGUCAGUUUGAUCUGACGGUCCAUAUUCAUUUGGAGGGACUAUAUAAGCAGACCCCCUGGCCCUUGGAGGAGAGGACCGGAGAAACCCUAAUUCAUUCGUACAUCUUUGGAGAAGAAGUCCCUGAUCAAGCACUAGAGCCACCACAUCAACUAGAUCUCUAGUUUUGCAUCUCUAGUUUAGCAUAGCUACAUAGGAUUAGAACUAGAAGGAAUCAAUCUUCGAUUGGUUUCCGGAUCUGUCAAGAGGACUCUUGGUAAUUCCUCAACUGUUCUUCAUUUGUUCAUCAUUGUUCUUCAAUAUUAUGAAUAUGACUUUAUUCUACUUCAAUAUAUUGAUUAUGACUUUGCUCUACUUGUUUAUAUUUGCAAUUAUAUUGUUCUUAAUUUAUCAUAGUUAUAUGCUUGUCGUAGUCAGAUUGGAAUUAUAUACAUGUUUAGGAUCAUAUAGCGUUUAUCCAUGUGUACAAUGGGUAAAUGAUAAGUAUUAUGUAGGCGUGGUGCCUAUGCCGUAUUUAUCUGCGAUUGUACCCUAUAUGCCGGAUCGCGGGGUAGUUCGUGGUGGUGACAGCUCCAUUGAUUCUUGUAUAGUCCCCCUCUCGUGUAUAGGGCAGGUAGAGCAACAUUAUUACAGGGGAGUGAUUGCUAUGUUUCUUAUCUUCCUUGAUAAUAUCACUAUGCAUGGGCGUAGUCCUGUCUCGCAAUGAUUGCCAAGUAUAAUUGCACUAACUAUGAUAUGCUAGACUUUAUAGUUAAGAAUAACUUAGGAAAUAUUCUUGUAGUUCAUCCUAAUUCCAUGCUAAUGACUUGCUAGAAUAUCUGUUGAGGUGCUUAUCAUUAUUAUAUGUGGCUAGUUAUGCUGAUCAGAUUAAUUAUGUUUGUCACCAGUCAUACUUUUUCUAUAUUUUAUGUGACAUUUAUCCCUGUAUGAAAGAGAUAGAUAAAUGCUCUCCAUUAUACAUGCAAUGAUGGAUACUCAAUUCCAUAUUUCAUUCCAUAAUCAACAUUGAAGAUUAGCAAUCCCUUCCCAGUGGUAAAAAUAUAAAUAACGAUACCUGGAAUACUUUCCGAUUAAAAUGCUACAUCGGUAUUAAUCUGUGCGCUUGCAGAUCUCAUUUAUUAUUCAUUCAGAAGAGCAAUUGCAUAUUUCAUUACCGCGUCUCUCAUGUCAUGCUGGGGAUGACAACUUGGCUUAAGUGGAAUGAGGGAUAGGUUUGGCAUUUUGGGCACCAUUAUCAGAACUAGAAAACUAAGUCUACUUUUGGUAAUGACGUUAAGAAUGCCCAAAAGAUGUGAACCUAACGGUAUACCUAAAGCUUUGAUUACCACUUGAUGAGAACAAGGGUGGCCCGAUCUUCCGAAAGGUUUUGAUAACUCUCGAUUUGGUGGAGACGAGACACAAUUCGAUCCGGCUUCCGAACAACACGAUCUGAAACCCUGCAAUUUUUUUUCGAUAUUUUUCUUUUAGUUACGAGCACCAAAGGAGUAACCACAGAAAAUUUGAGCUUAAACAAGUGAAACACAUGGCCUGCGGAAUUUUUUGAAGAUUGUGAAAAAUGUGAAAAAAACUUGACGAGGUGAAAACUCAAAAUUUGGAGGUGAAUUUGGAGGUUCUAUAAUUUUCAAACCCACCAAUGGAGGGGACAGACAUAUCUGAAAUUUUUUUUUGAUCAAUUUUGAUAUAUGGAACGUUGAAAUCGGAGUUCGUAUGCGAAAGUUAUGGCUAUUUUACGAACGGACUCCAAAUUAGAGGACAAAAUGGUCCGAAAGUAGGAAAAAUUCGCGGCAGUGGCUAGAAAUUGAUGGAAACGGUGGGAAAAAACACACAAACUGGACUCUAACAAGACCUAACCAGCAACAAGACCUCGACCAGGACACAAACUCAACACUGUGGACUGUCAAACUGAAAUAUACAAAGGCUAUGGCGCGGAAGGGUUGUAGGACAAUAAAACGAUAUGACACUAGACUUAUGGGACAAACACAAGAACACUCAAAAGUAAGGGUAGAUGUGAACCUAAUGGUAUACCUAAAGCUUUGAUUACCACAUGAUGAGAAUAAGGGUGAUCCGAUCUUCUGAAAGGUUCUGGUAACUCUCAAUUUGGUGGAGACGAGACACAAAUCGAUACGGCUUCCGAAUAACAUGAUCCGAAACGCUACAAAAUUUUUUUAUUUUUUUGAUAUUUUACUUUUAGUUAGGAGCACCAAAGGAGUAACCAUAGAAAAUUUGAGAAUAAACAAGUGAAAUACAUGGCCUGCGAAAUUUUCUGAAGAUUGUGAAAAAUGUGAAACAAACUUCAUGAGGUGAAAACUCAAACUUCGGAGGUGAAUUUGGAGGUUCUAAAAUUUUCAAACCCGCCAACGGAAGGGACAGACAGAUCCAAAAUUUUUUUCUGAUCGAUUUUGAUAUAUGGAAUGUUGAAAUCGGAGUUUGUAUGUGAAUGUUAUGGGUAUUUUACGAAUAGACUCCGAAUUAGAGGACAAAACGGUCUGAAAGUGGGAAAAAAUUGCGGCAGUGGCUAGAAUUUGAUGGAAACUGUGGGGAAAAACACAUGAACUGGACUCUAACAAGGCUUAACCAGCAACAAGACCUCGACGAGGACACAAACUCAACACUGCGGACUCUAAAACUAAAAUAUGCAAAGGCUAUGACGCGGAAGGGUUGUAGGACAAGAAAACAAUAUGACACAGGACUUAUGGGACGAACCAAGAACACUCGAAACUAAAGGUAGAUGUGAACCUAACGGUAUACCUAAAGCUUUGAUUUCCACAUAUGAGAACAAGGGUGACCCGAUCUUCUGAAGUUCUGGUAACUCUCGAUUUGGUGGAGACGAGACACAAAUCGAUCCGUCUUCCGAACAACACGAUCCGAAACCCUGCAAUUUUUUUUUGAUAUUUUUCUUUUAGUUAGAGCACCAAAGGAGUGACCACAGAAAAUUUGAGCUUAAACUAGUGAAAGACAUGGCCUACGAAAAUUUCUGAAAAUUAUGUAAAAUGUGAAAAAAAAACAUCACGAGGUGAAAACUCAAACUUCAGAGGUGAAUUUGGAGGUUCUAAAGUUUUCAAACUCGCCAAUGGAGGGGACAGAGAGAUCCGAAAUUUUUUUUCGAUCGAUUUUGAUAUAUUGAACGUUGAAAUCAGAGCUCGUAUGCGAAAGUUAUGGCUAUUUUACAAACGGACUCCAAAUUAGAGGACAAAAUGGUCCGAAAGUGGAAAAAAUUUGCGGCGGUGGCUAGAAAUUGAUGGAAACGGUGGGGGAAAAUACAUGAACUGGACUCUAAUAAGACCUAACCAGCAAUAAGACCUCGACGAGGACACAAACUCAACACUGCGGACUCUGAAACUGAAAUAUGCAAAGGCUAUGACGUGGAAGGGUUGUAGGACAAGAAAACGAUAUGACACUGCACUUAUGGGACGAACACAAGAACACUCAAAACUAAGGGUAGAUGUGAACCUAAUGGUAUACCUAAAGCUUUGAUUCCCACAUGAUGAGAACAACGGUGACCCGAUCUUCUAAAAGGUUCUGGUAACUCUCGAUUUGGUGGAGACGAGACACGAAUCGAUCCGGCUUCCGAACAACACGAUCCGAAACCCUGCAAUUUUUUUUAUUUUUUUGAUAUUUUUCUUUUAGUUAGAGCACCAAAGGAGUAACCACAGAAAAUUUGAGCUUAAACCAGUGAAAGACAUGGCCUACGAAAAUUUCUGAAAAUUGUGAAAAAUGUGAAAAAAACAUCACGAGGUGAAAACUCAAACUUCAGUUGUGAAUUUGGAGGUGCUAAAAUUUUCAAACCAGCCAAGGGAGGGGAGACAGAUCCGAAAUUUUUUUCUGAUCGAUUUUGAAAUAUGGAACAUUGAAAUCGGAGCUCGUAUGCGAAAGUUAUGGCUAUUUUACGAACGGACUCCAAAUUCGAGGACAAAACGGUGCGAAAGUGGGCAAAAUUUACGGUGGUGGCUAGAAAUUGAUGGAAACGGUGGGGGAAAAUAUAUGAACUGGACUCUAACAAGACCUAACCAGCAACAAGACCUCGACGAGGACACAAACUCAACACUGCGGACUCUAAAACUGAAAUAUGCAAAGGCUAUGGCGUGGAAGGGUUGUAGGACAGAAAAACGAUAUGACACUGGACUUAUGGGACGAACACAAGAACACUCGAAACUAAGGGUAGAUUUGAACCUAAUGGUAUAUCUAAAUCUUUGAUUUCCACAUGAUGAGAACAAGGGUGACCCAAUCUUCUGAAAGGUUCUGGUAACUCUCGAUUUGGUGGAGACGAGACACAAAUCGAUCCGGGUUCCGAACAACACGAUCCGAAACCCUACAAUUUUUUUUAUUUUUUUGAUAUUUUUCUUUUAGUUAGAGCACCAAUGGAGUAACCACAGAAAAUUUGAGCUUAAACCAGUGAAAAACAUGGCCUACGAAAAUUUCUGAAAAUUGUGAAAAAUGUGAAAAAAACAUCACGAGGUGAAAACUCAAACUUCGGAGGUGAAUUUGGAGGUUCUAACUUUUCAAACCUACCAAUGGAGUGACAAACAGAUCCAAAAUUUUUUUCUGAUCGAUUUUGAUAUAUGGAACGUUGUAAAUGGAGCUCGUAUGUGAAAGUUAUGGCUAUUUUACGAACGGACUCCAAGUUAGAGGACAAAACGGUCCGAAAGUGGGAAAAAUUUGCGGUGGUGGCUAGAAAUUGAUGGAAACGGUGGGGGAAAAUACAUGAACUGGACUCUAACAAGACCUAACCAGCAACAAGACCUCGACAAGGACACAAACUCAACACUGCGGACUCUGAAACUGAAAUAUGCAAAGGCUAUGGCGCGGAAGGGUUGUAGGACAGGAAAACCAUAUGACACUGGACUUAUGGGACGAACACAAGAACACUCGAAACUAAGGGUAGAUUUGAACCUAACGGUAUACCUAAAGCUUUGAUUACCACAUGAUGAGAACAAGGGUGACCCGAUCUUCUGAAAGGUUCUCGUAACUCUCGAUUUGGUGGAGACGAGACACAAUUUAAUCCGGCUUUCGAACAACACGAUCCAAAACCCUGCAAAUUUUUUUAUUUUUUUGAUAUUUUUCUUAUAGUUAGGAGCACCAAAGGAGUAACCACACAAUAUUUGAGCUUAAACCAGUGAAAUUUUCUCAAAGUUGUGAAAAUGUGAAAAAAAACUUCAUGAGGUGAAAACUCAAAUUUCGGAGGUGAAUUUGGAGGUUCCAAAAUUUUCAAACCUGCCAAUGGAGUGGACAGACAGAUCCGAAAUUUUUUUCUGAUCAAUUUUGAUAUAUGGAACGUUGAAAUCGGAGCUCGUAUGCGAAAGUUAUGGCUAUUUUACAAACGGACUCCAAAUUAGAGGACAAAAUGGUCGAAAAGUGGGAAAAAUUUGCGACGGUGGCUAGAUAUUGAUGGAAACGGUGCUGGAAAACACACGAACUGGACUCUAACAAGACCUAACAAGCAACAAGACCUCGACGAGGACACAAACUCAACACUGCGGACUCUGAAACUGAAAUAUGCAAAGGCUAUGACACGGAAGGGUUGUAGGACAAGAAAACGAUAUGACACUGCACUUAUUGGACGAACACAAGAACACUUGAAACUAAGGGCAGAUGUGAACCUAAUGGUAUACCUAAAGCUUUUAUUUCCACAUGAUGAGAACAAGGGUGACCCGAUCUUCUGAAAGGUUCUGGUAACUCUCGAUUUGGUGGAGACAAGACAUAAAUCGAUCCGGCUUCCGAACAACACGAUCCGAAAACCGGUAAUUUUUUUAUUUUUUGAUAUUUUCUUUUAGUUAGAGCACCAGAGGAGUAACCACAGAAAAUUUGAGCUUAAACUAGUGAAAGACAUGGCCUACGAAAAUUUCUGAAAAUUGUGAAAAAUGUGAAAAAAACAUCACGAGGUGAAAACUCAAACUUCAGAGGUGAAUUUGGAGGUUCUAAAAUUUUCAAACUCGCCAAUGGAGGGGACAGACAGAUCUCAAAAUUUUUUCUGAUCAAUUUUGAUAUAUGGAACGUUGAAAUCGGAGUUCGUAUGCGAAAGUUAUGGCUAUUUUACGAACGGACUCCAAAUUAGAGGGCAAAAUGGUCCGAAAGUAGGAAAAAUUCGCGGCGGUGGCUAGAAAUUGAUGGAAACGGUGGGGAAAAACACACAAACUGGACUCUAACAAGACCUAACCAGCAACAAGACCUCGACCAGGACACAAACUCAACACUGUGUACUGUGAAACUGAAAUAUGCAAAGGCUAUGGCGCGGAAGGGUUGUAGGACAAGAAAACGAUAUGACACUGGACUUAUGGGACAGACACAAGAACACUGAAAAGUAAGGGUAGAUGUGAACCUAAUGGUAUACCUAAAGCUUUGAUUACUAUAUGAUGAGAAUAAGGGUGACCCGAUCUUCUAAAAGGUUCUGGUAACUCUCGAUUUGGUUAAGAUGAGACACAAAUCGAUACGGCUUCCGAAUAACAUGAUCCGAAACGCUGCAAAAUUUUUUUUAUUUUUUUGAUAUUUUACUUUUAGUUAGGAGCACCAAAGGAGUAACCAUAGAAAAUUUGAGCAUAAACAAAUCAAACACAUGGCCUGCGGAAUUUUCUGAAGACUGUGAAAAAUGUGAAAAAAACUUCAUGAGGUAAAAACUCAAACUUCGGAGGUGAAUUUGGAGGUUCUAAAAUUUUUAAACUCGCCAAUGGACGGGACAGACAGAUCCAAGAAUUUUUUCUAAUCGAUUUUGAUAUAUGGAACGUUGAAAUCAGAGUUUGUAUGCGAAAGUUAUGUCUAUUUUACGAACAGACUCCAAAUUAGAGGACAAAACGGUCCGAAAGUGGGAAAAAUUUGCGGUGGUGGCUAGAAAUUGAUGGAAACGGUGGGGAAAAAUACAUGAACUGAACUCUAACAAGACCUACCCUACAAUAACACCUCGACGAGGACACAAACUCAACACUGCGGACUCUGAAACUGAAAUAUGCAAAGGCUAUGACGCGGAAGGGUUGUAGGACAAGAAAACGAUAUGACACUGGACUUAUGGGACGAACACAAGAACACUCGAAACUAAUGGUAGAUGUGAACCUAAUGGUAUACCUAAAGCUUUGAUUAUCACUUGAUGGGAACAAGGGUGGCCCGAUCUUCCAAAAUGUUCUGGUAACUCUCGAUUUGGUGGAGACGAGACACAAAUCGAUCCGGCUUUCGAAUAACAUGAUCCAAAACCCUGCGUUUUUUAUUUUUUUGAUAUUUUUCUUUUAGUCAGGAGCACCAAAGGAGUAACCAUAGAAAAUGAGCUUAAACAAGUAAAAGACAUGGCCUGCGGACUUUUCUGAAGAUUGUGAAAAAUGUGAAAAAACAUCACGAGGUGAAAACUCAAACUUCAGAAGUGAAUUUGGAGGUACUAAAAUUUUCAAACCCGCCAAUGGAGGGGACAGACAGAUCCAAAAAAUUUUUCUGAUCGAUUUUGAUGUAUGGAAUGUUGAAAUCGGAGUUUGUAUGCGAAAGUUAUGGCUAUUUUACAAACGGACUCCGAAUUAGAGGACAAAACGGCGGUGCCUAGAAAUUGAUGGAAACGGUGGGGAAAAAGACAUGAACUGGACUCUAACAAGACUUAACCAGCAAGAAGACCUCGACCAGGACACAAACUCAACACUGCGGACUCUAAAACUGAAUUAUGCAAAGGCUAUGGCGCGGAAGGGUUGUAGGACAAGAAAAUGAUAUAGCACUGGACUUAUAGGGACAAACACGAGAACACUCGAAACUAAGGGUAGAUGUGAACCUAAUGGUAUACCUAAAGCUUUGAUUUCCACAUGAUGAGAACAAGGGUGACCCGAUCUUCUGAAAGGUUCUGGUAACUCUCGAUUUGGUGGAGACGAGACACAAAUCGAUCCGGCUUCCGAACAACACGAUCCGAAACCCUGCAAUUGUUUUAUUUUUUUUGAUAUUUUUCUUUUAGUUAGAGCACCAAAGGAGUAACCACAGAAAAUUUGAGCUUAAACCAGUGAAAGACAAGGUCUACGAAAAUUUCUGAAAAUUGUGAAAAAUGUGAAAAAAACAUCAUGAGGUGAAAACUCAAACUUCAGAGGUGAAUUUGGAGGUCCUAAAAUUUUCAAACCAGCCAAUGGAGGGGACAGACAGAUCUGAAAUUUUUUUCUGAUCGAUUUUGAUAUAUGGAACAUUGAAAUCGGAGCUCGUAUUCGAAUGAUAUGGCUAUUUUACGAACGGACUCCAAAUUAGAUGACAAAACGGUCCGAAAGUGGGAAAAAUUUGCGGUGGUGGCUAGAAAUUGAUGAAAACGGUGGGGGAAAAUACAUGAACUGGACUCUAACAAGACCUAACCAGCAACAAGACCUCGACGAGGACACAAACUCAAAACUGCGGACACUAAAACUGAAAUAUGCAAAGGCUAUGACGCGGAAGGGUUGUAGGACAAGAAAACGAUAUGACACUGGACUUAUGGGACAAACCAAGAACACUCAAAACUAAGGGUAGAUGUGAACCUAACGGUAUACCGAAAGUUUUGAUUUCCACAUAUGAGAACAAGGGUGACCCGAUCUUCUGAAGUUCUGGUAACUCUCGAUUUGGUGGAGACGAGACACAAAUCGAUCCGGCUUCCGAACAACACGAUCCGAAAACCUGUAAUUUUUUUUUGAUAUUUUUCUUUUAGUUAGAGCACCAAAGGAGUGACCACAGAAAAUUUGAGCUUAAACUAGUGAAAGACAUGGCCUACGAAAAUUUCUAAAAAUUGUGAAGAAUGUGAAAAAAAAACAUCACGAGGUGAAAACUCAAACUUCAGAGGUGAAUUUGGAGGUUCUAAGCUUUUCAAACUUGCCAAUGGAGGGGACAGGGAGAUCUGAAAUUUUUUUCUGAUCGAUUUCGAUAUAUGGAACAUUGAAAUCAGAGCUCGUAUGUGACAGUUAUGGCUAUUUUACGAACGGACUCCAAAUUAGAGGACAAAAUUGUUCGAAAGUGGGAAAAAUUUGCGGCGGUGGCUAGAAAUUAAUGGAAACGGUGGGGGAAAAUACAUGAACUGGACUCUAACAAGACCUAACCAGCAAUAAGACCUCGACGAGGACACAAACUCAACACUGCGGACUCUGAAACUGAAAUAUGCACAGGCCAUGACGUGGAAGGGUUGUAGGACAAGAAAACGAUAUGACACUACACUUAUGGGACGAACACAAGAACACUCGAAACUAAGGGUAGAUGUGAACCUAAUGGUAUCCCUAAAGCUUUGAUUUCCACAUGAUGAGAACAAGGGUGACCCGAUCUUCUGAAAGGUUCUGGUAACUCUCGAUUUGGUGGAGACGAGACACAAAUCGAUCCGGCUUCCGAACAACACGAUCCGAAAACCUGUAAUUUUUUUUGAUAUUUUUCUUUUAGUUAGAGCACCAAAGGAGUGACCACAGAAAAUUUGAGCUUAAACUAGUGAAAGACAUGGCCUACGAAAAUUUCUGAAAAUUGUGAAGAAUGUGAAAAAAAAACAUCACGAGGUGAAAACUGAAACUUCAGAAGUGAAUUUGGAGGUUCUAAGGUUUUCAAACUUGCCAAUGGAGGGGACAGGGAGAUCUGAAAUUUUUUUCUGAUCGAUUUCGAUAUAUGGAACAUUGAAAUCAGAGCUCGUAUGUGACAGUUAUGGCUAUUUUACGAACGGACUCCAAAUUAGAGGACAAAAUUGUCCGAAAGUGGGAAAAAUUUGCGGCGGUGGCUAGAAAUUGAUGGAAACGGUGGGGGAAAAUACAUGAACUGUUCUCUAACAAGACCUAACCAGCAAUAAGACCUCGACGAGGACACGAACUCAACACUGCGGACUCUGAAACUGAAAUAUGCAAAGGCUAUGACACGGAAGCGUUGUAGGACAAGAAAACGAUAUGACACUGCACUUAUGGGACGAACACAAGAACACUCAAAACUAAGGGUAGAUGUGAACAUAAUGGUAUACCUAAAGCUUUGAUUUCCACAAGAUAAGAACAAGGGUGACCGGAUCUUCUGAAAGGUUCUGGUAACUCUCGAUUUGGUGGAGACGAGACACAAAUCCAUCCGGCUUCCGAACAACAUGAUCCGAAACCGUGCAAUUUUUUUUAUUUUUUUGAUAUUUUUCUUUUAGUUAGAGCACCAAACGAGUAACCAUAGAAAAUUUGAGCUUAAACCAGUGAAAGACAUGGCCUACGAAAAUUUCUGAAAAUUGUGAAAAAUGUGAAAAAAACAUCACGAGGUGAAAACUCAAACUUCAGAGGUGAAUUUGGAUGUUCUAAAAUUUCCAAUCCCGCCAAUGGAGGAAACAGACAGAUCCGAAAUUUUUUUCUGAUCGAUUUUGAUAUAUGGAACGUUGAAAUCGGAGCUCGUAUGCGAAAGUUAUGACUAUUUUCCGAACGGACUCCAAAUUAGAGGACAAAACGGUCCGAAAGUGGGAAAAAUUUGCGGCGGUGGCUUGAAAUUUAUGGAAACGGUGGGGGAAAAUACAUGAAUUGGACUCUAACAAGACCUAACCAGCAACAAGACAUCGACAAGGACACAAACUCAACACUGCAGACUCUGAAACUUAAAUAUGCAAAGGCUAUGGCGCGGAAGGGUUGUAGGACAAGAAAACGAUAUGACACUGGACUUAUGGGACGAACACAAGAACACUCGAAACUAAGUGUAGAUUUAAACCUAAUGGUAUACCUAAAGCUUUGAUUACCACAUGAUGAGAACAAGGGUGACCCGAUCUUCUAAAAGGUUCUGGUAACUCAAGAUUUGGUGCAGACGAGACACAAAUUGAUCCGGCUUCCGAACAACAUGAUCCGAAAUCCUGCAAUUUCUUUUAGUUAGGAGCACCCAAGGAGUAACCAUAGAAAUUUUGAGCUUAAACCAGUGAAAGACAUGGCCUACGAAAAUUUCUGAAAAUUGUGAAAAAUGUGAAAAAAACUUCACGAGGUGAAAACUCAAACUUCGGACGUGAAUUUGGAGUUUUCUAAAAUUUUCAAACCCGCCAAUAGAAGGGACACACAGAUCCAAAAUUUUUUUUAAUCGAUUUUGAUAUAUGAAACGUUGAAAUUGAAGUUUUUAUGCAAAAGUUAUGGCUAUUUUAUUAAAGGACUCCGAAUUAGAGGACAAAACGAUCCGAAAGUGGAAAAAAUUUACGGCAGGUGCUAGAAAUUGAUGGAUACGGUGGGGAAAAACACACAAACUGGACUCUAACAAGACCUAACCAGCAACAAAACCUCGACGAGGACACAAACUCAACACUGCGGACUCUGAAACUGAAAUAUGCAAAGGCUAUGGCGCAGAAGGGUUGUAGGACAGGAAAACGAUAUGGCACUGGACUUAUGGGACGAAUACAAGAACACUCGAAACUAAGGGUAGAUGUGAACCUAAUGGUAUACCUAAAUCUUUGAUUACCACUUGAUGAGAACAAGGCUGGCCUGAUCCUCCGAAAGGUUCUGGUAACUCUGGUGGAGACGAGACACAAAUCGAUCCGGCUUUCGAACAACAUGAUCCAAAACCCUACAAUUUUUUUAUUUUUUUGAUAUUUUUCAUUUAGUUAGGAGCACCGAAGGAGUAACCAUAAAAAAUUUGUGCUUAAACAAGUGAAAGACAUGGCCUGCGGACUUUUCUGAAGAUUGUGAAAAAUGUGAAAAGAACAUCGCGAGGUGAAAACUCAAAUUUCAGAGGUGAAUUUGGAGGUACUAAAAUUUUCAAACCUACCAAUGGAGGGGACGGACAGAUCCAAUUUUUUUUUCUGAUCGAUUUUGAUGUAUGGAACGUUGAAAUUGGAGUUCGUAUGCGAAAGUUAUGGCUAUUUUACGAACGCACUCUGAAUUAGAGGAUAAAACGGCGGUGGCUAGAAAUUGAUGGAAACGGUGGGGAAAAAGACAUGAACUGGACUCUAACAAGACCUAACCAACAACAAGACCUCAACCAGGACACAAACUCAACACUGUGGUCUCUAAAACUGAAAUAUGCAAAGGAUAUGGCGCGAAAGGGUUGUAGGACAAGAAAAUGAUAUCGCACUGGACUUAUAGGGACAAACACAAGAACACUCGAAACUAAGGGUAGAUGUGAACCUAACGGUAUACCUAAAGCUUUGAUUACGACUUGAUGAGAACAAGGGUGGCCCGAUCUUCCGAAAGGUUCUAGUAACUCUUGAUUUGGUGGAGACGAGACACAAAUCGAUCCGGCUUCCAAACAACACGAUGCGAAACCCUGCAAUUUUUUUUAUUUUUUUGAUAUUUGUCUUUUAGUUAGAGCACCAAAGGAGUAACCACAGAAAAUUUGAGCUUAAACAAGUAAAAGACAUGGCCUGCUGAAUUUUCUGAAGAUUGUGAAAAAUGUAAAAAUAACUUCAUGAGGUAAAAACUCAAACUUCGGAGGUGAAUUUGGAGGUUCUAAAUUUUUCAAACCUUCCAAUGGAGGGGACAGACAUAUCCAAAAAUUUUUUCUGAUCAAUUCUGAUAUAUGAAACGUUAAAAUCGGAGUUCGUAUGCGAAAGUUAUGGCUAUUUUACGAACGGACUCCGAAUUAGAGGACAAAACGAUCCGAAAGUGGGAACAAUUUGCGGCGGUGGCUAGAAAUUGAUGGAAACAGUGGGCAAAAACAAAUGAACUGGACUCUAACAAGACCUAACCAACAACAAGACCUCGACCAGGACACAAACUCAACACUGCGGACUCUGAAACUAAAAUAUGCAAAGGCUAUGGCGCGGAAGGGUUGUAGGACAGAAAAACGAUAUGGCACUAGACUUAUGGGACAAACACAAGAACACUCGAAACUAAGGGUAGAUGUGAGCCUAAUGGUAUACCUAAAGCUUUGAUUACCACUUGAUGAGAACAAAGGUGGCCCGAUCUUCUGAAAGGUUGUGGUAACUCUCGAUUUGGUGGAGACGAGACACAAAUCGAUCAGCUUCCGAACAACACGAUCCGAAACCCUGCAAUUGUUUUUCUAUUUUUUUUGAUAUUUUUCUUUUAGUUAGGAGCACAAAAGGAGUAACCACAGAAAAUUUGAGCUUAAACAAGUGAAAGACAUGGCCUGCGGAAUUUUCUGAAGAUUGAGAAAAAUGUGAAAAAAACUUCACGUGGUGAAAACUCAAACUUCGGAGGUGAAUUAUGAGAUUCUAAAGGUUUCAAAUCCACCAAUGGAGGGGACAGACAGAUACAAAAAAUUUUCUGAUCAAUUUUGAUAUAUGGAACGUUGAAAUCGGAGUUCGUAUGCGAAAGUUAUGGCUAUUUUUCAAACGGACUCCGAAUUAGAGGACAAAACGGUCCGAAAGUGGGAAAAAUUUGCGGCGGUGGCUAGAAAUUGAUGGAAAUAGUGGGGAAAAACAUAUGAACUGGACUUGAUAAAGACCUAACGAGCAACAAGACCUCGACCAGGACACAAACUCAACACUGUGGACUCUCAAACUGAAAUAUGCAAAGGCUAUGGCGUGUAAGGGUUGUAGGACAGGAAAAUGAUAUGGCACUGGACUUAUGGGACGAACCCAAGAACACUCGAAACUAAGGGUAGAUAUCAACCUAACGGUACACCUAAAGCUUUGAUUACCACUUGAUGAGAACAAGGGCGGCCCGAUCUUCCGAAAGGUUCUGGUAACUCUCGAUUUGGUGGAGACGAGACACAAAUCGAUCCGGCUUCCGAACAACACGAUCUGAAAGCCUACAAUUUUUUUUAUUUUUUUGAUAUUUUUCUUUGAGUUCGGAGCACCAAAGGAGCAACCACAGAAAAUUUGAGCUUAAACAUGUGAAAGACAUGGCCUGUGGAAUUUUCUGAAGAUUGUGGAAAAUGUGAAAAAACUUCGCGAGGUGAAAACUCAGACUUCGGAGGUGAAUUUGGAGGUUUUAAAGUUUUCAAACCCCCCAAUGGAGGGGACACACAGAUCCAAAAAAUUUUUCUAAUCGAUUUUGAUAUAUGGAACAUUGAAAUCGGAGUUCGUAUGCGAAAGUUAUGGUUAUUUUACGAACGGACUCCGAAUUAGAGGACAAAACGGUCCGAAAGUGAGAAUAAUUUGCGGUGGUGGC